AUAAUAAUAAUAAUCAUGUUUCCAUAAAAUUGCUAAGUCCAGAGAUAAUACAUAAACAUAGUAGACUGUUCAUGACACAUAUCACGGUGGACAGUGUUUGUGUCCUUAUUACAAGCAACGAGAGAUGCUCGUCACCAACACGCGCGCGCACAGAUGCACGACAUACAUAUAGUAGAGACCAACAGAUGGUCGUCCCAUAUGGUGAACAAUUUAUUGGGGAUAAAUAUUAACGUAACUUGGCCAUAGCUUGAAGCAUAGCAACAUAUGCCUAUGAGUGGCAUUCAUGCUAUCGUUUUAGGCUUGUCCAGCUCCUUCCAUCUUAGCAAGCACUUCCAUUUCUACCAUCUUAGCAGCAACUGUCAAAUUGAGAUACGGAAAUCCCAUUAGCGCAUGAGUUAAUUUUGCAGUGGAAAUAGAGUACAAGAUGUCUUCAUGAUGUAAGUAAUAUGCCUGAAGUUGUGAGAUGGGAAGUGAAGUCAACAAAUUACAUUAACGGAAAUGCAUGGAAGGCCACACAUACGUAUUAGUCCAUGAUAUGCUACAAAGCUUGUAUGUACAUAUAGCAAAUUAAAUGCAUUAAUUGAAUAGAGUGUGUUUAGUGAAUUUACCAGAAUCGUCCAGAAAACAUGGGAAACAGCAAGUGUUCUUGCAGACUGCGUCGGAGGCACCCGCACGAAUACAAAGCUGACAACAUAGUUUUGCCUGGGCGGAUGCGCAGCAGCCGCACUCCGCCGCGGUGGGGUUAACAUUGAGGCUCAAGAUGACCAGGCACAUGAUCACCAUCAAAGUGGUAGUCCUCUUUCCCUCCAUUGCCUCCUCUUAGCUUGCUGCUACCUUCCUUGGUUACCUAGCUAAGUUUAUUGGUUUUGUGUUGAGAGGUGUGAUUUUUGAAUGGACGUUGCCGGCGGCAAUUUAUAGGCAGCUGAGCUAUGUGAUGAUAUGGACUAGGUGCAAAUGGGUGGUUAAUGGCAAGGAAAGGGGCGUCAGACAAAGCCCAAUGGCAACUGCUGACAUGCGAUUAAAUUCAGAUCCACAUCCGGCCAUUCAAUAAUACGGUUGGAGUUGUGGCACAGAUAUAUUAUUGCAUGAUCAUCAAGAUAAGAUCGUACAGUGACUGAGUGAGACAAUAAAUAGCCAAGUAAACUAUUUUAUCCUGCUGCAAGCUGCAUUCAUAAGUUUAUUUCACCUUUGAUCACAAUACUCUUCACACACGUACGUCUCAGGGAGAUCUCACUUCCGCUGGACUGCUCACUUCCGCUGUCGUCGGUACUGCCAAAGACAUAAGCUCACAUCUGCUAUUGCGGAGCAGGCCAAUUUGCUGCGGAACUUCGGCGACGACCUGAAGGACAUGAACUCGGUGCUGGAGUCCAUCUCAGCAGCGCUCUAGGACGCUGACACCGGUAGAAAAACGACCUUCCAUCGUCAACAAAAAUCCCGGUAGCUUUUUUACUCGGUACUAAAGAGGUUUUAAUCUCGUGCAAACACCUUUAGUCCAGAUUGCUAUUACCACGCAACCCGGACUAAAGCGUCCCCCGCGAGUUAGUAUAUAAGGAUUGCAUCCUUUACUCAGUCAGAUAUAAUAUGUAGGUGAGAUGGUAAGGAAGCUAUGCGUGAGGCUUCAGGUUGUGGGUUCGAAUCCAAGUGGGUGCAGCUGUGGCUUAAGCGGCUGAGGCACGCCGCCAUAGACAUCUCAGAUUUGCUCGAAGACUACCAAGACACUAGUGAACCCUUAACAGUAAAGGUGAGUACUUAUGAAUGUCAGCAUCCAUGUUGUCCAUGCUUCCAAUGUAAUAACAAGAUGGACUACUCUUCCUAGCGGACUCUUCACAACCACUCGUAAAGCUAUGCGUUUCUCAAUGCAAUUUCGUAGAAGCCAAUCGAUCCAACCAAGUGACUAAAUCAUUCGUCCUUUCCAAUGAUGUGCAUCAGGUUUUCUAUAUGAAGGGCAUGUCUAGCAAACCUAAGAUUUCAGAAGAAAAAGAAAAAUCAUUGGAGCCAAAGAGCCACAUAGUUCUUCUAGGAAAAAAAUCAUGGGAGUCGAGAACAUAUCAAACCAAUCAGGGGAUUAUGGUCAGCUUAAUGGCAUGCCUCCAUUCGAUGUCGAAGUUCACCCAAGCAUCAUGUUAGCCAAACAUCAAAUGUUCGUGCGUUGUUACGGUAAAGAUCAAUUGUGUUUUUUAAACUCUUGGAAUUUUUUUAUCUAAGUUUUUAUUUACACUUAUUGGAUGUCUACACAUUUGCUAGAAAACUAAAAUAAUUUGGACUUAAUUAUUUCUUUCAACUGAAGUACUCACUAAAUUUCUACCUUUUUAUUUAAGCAAGAGAGUUGCUAAAAAAAAUGGAUACGUAACCAUGUUGUAUCAUACAAAGUAACCACGUUUCACAUAUAGUCCGGCUUAGCAAACACCAUUGUUUUCUGAACAUAGCGUACAUGAGUUAACAGACAUGGAUUUAUUUCUAUUGCAAGUAGCAUAGCGUACAACCUGCCUGCACCGAUGCAGCUCAAUAUGCGAUAAUUUUUAUCUUCCCAUGUAAUUUUUCUACUCUAGUACAUAUUGAACUCCACAUUAAUGUCAUGUUCUUUCGCGCCCCAGAAGGUUCCUAAAGUUUGGAAACUUAAUAGAUAGCCAGAAUUUUUUUUAAAGAUAUUUAUAUGGAUACUUGUAUGUUCUUUCCAAACUAACAAUAUUGUUUACCAAUAUCAGAAGGAAUAUGGUUAGGAGCCAUUGCCGCAUAUGGCAGGUGAUGGUAGAUGGCGUAUGGGGUUUCGUUAAUUUAAUGGUAUAAUAAGCUGAAAUACAUUUUCUAUUUGCAAAUGAAUCAUAGCUGAAAUUGGUGGGAUUGUUUUUUCGCCGGUUUAGCAUCCUGUGCACCAGUUCAACCGGAGGGAAGCUGUUUUUUUUCUUUGGUUUUCCACCGGUUCACCGAGACCGAUGACAAUUUUAUGGCAGAAUCAUUACUUGUUUUACUAUUAGGUGAAGAUUUUAGCGUUUAGGUAUCUCACAUUAAACGCAACUUCAACAAUCUAUUUCUAGUGUAUAAUGUAGGAGACCCCGUAAAGAGUCUACACACACAUAUAUGUUGACUAUGAAUGUAAGUUUGUUGGUUUUAUGUAUGUUCGUUUGGAGUUUAUAUAAAUUUUACAUUUUAUAGUUUUGUGUAUAUGACGAAGAUCCAUGACUUGCAUUAAUUUAGCCUUUCUUCCAACAACUCUUAUGCAUGCUGUUUCUAGGCGAGCGUACUGGUUGCAAUUUUGGUCCCCGAUAUAGUGUGAGGACUUAAGGGACACGUGCAGGUCGUAACCUUAGAUAUUUUUGCUGAGAAUGGAUGAAGAAGCAAUAAUAUACUUUGCUUCUGAUUUUCUCCAUGUCAUUUGCUUACUCUUAUCCCUUUUAUUUAUCAUUAUAAGAUGAAAAUAUUGUAAAAACUUGGCUACGUGCGGUCGCAGAAGCUAGAGACUAAAGCGUCCCCCACGAGUUACUAUAUAAAAGGAUUGCAUCCUCUACUCAGUCAUAUGUACUGUGUAGGUGAGAUGGUAAGGAAGCUAUGUGUGAGGCUUGAGGUUGUAGGUUCGAAUCCCACGCACCGCGUGCGCAUGCGCAUAUUUUGCGUGAAAAAUCGCAUGACUUGUGGUCGGCCAAGGAGAAGUGCGUGCGGCUGAGGCACGCCGCCAUAGACAUCUCGGAUUUGCUCCAAGACUACCAAGACACUAGCGAACCCUUAACGGCAAAGUUGAGUACUUACGCGUGUUAGCAUCUAUGUUGUCCAUGCUUCCAAUGCAAUAACAAGAAGGGCUACUCAUCCUAGCGGAUUCUUCACAACCACUCGUAAAGCUAUGCGUUUCUCAAUGCAAUUUCGUAGAUGUCAAUCGAUCCAACCAAGCGACUGAAUCAUUCGUCCUUGCUAAUGAUGUGCAUCAGGUUUUCUAUAUGAAGAACAUGUCUAGCAAAUCCAAGAUUUCAGAAGAAAAAUAAAAAUCAUGAGAACCAAAGCACCACGUAGUUCUUCCAGGUAAAAAAAACAAUCAUCCACUGGGAUGACACACAGUAGCGAUCCAAAACGUCCAUAUUAAGACUUUUUGAUAGCAGAAAAAACAUGAAAAUGUCUAAUAUUUGUAGUAUUAAAAGGAAAAAUAAUAUAUUCACUUGACCUUUUUUUCGUAGCAACGCACCGGUGCGUAGUCAGACUUAGGCCACGUUUGGAUACUCCCUACUAAAGUUUAGCACCUGUCACAUAGGAUGUUUGGAUACUAAUUAGGAGUAUUAAACAUAGGCUAAUUAUAAAACUAAUUGAAUAGAUGGAGUCUAAUUUGCGAGACGAAUCUAUUAAGCCUAACUAGUCCAUGAUUUGACAAUGUGGUGCUACAGUAACCAUUUGCUAAUGGUGGAUUAAUUAGGCUUAAUAGAUUCGUCUCGCGAAUUAACAUAGGGUUCUGCAAUUAAUUUUAUAAUUAGCUCAUGUCUAGUCCUUCUAAUUAGCAUCCGAACAUCUGAUAUGAUACUGCUAAAGUUUAUCACCUAGUAUCCAAAUACCCCCUUAAUGCACGAUGCCUGUGCAUCCACUGGGCCUACCCUCGUGGAUCACGCGCUCGUGGAUCACGCGCACCAUGACAUGGCUCAUUAGCUAGUCGUGCUAAUCCUUACCACCAAAUUAAAAACUAGCAUGUGUUGUGUGUUUGUGACCCUAAACGACUACCACCUUCCCGAGUCCACCGGAGUUGCCAGUUCACCACUAAGCUGACUCUCCGAGCUUCAUGUCACUGUCACCGCUCCAAAGACCUAGAUCGGUUCGCUGUGCACCCCGCUUCGUCCUGAGCUAAAUCCCAUCACGAAAGGUGACCGGAUGCUCGUUUUCGAGCGAAUUCUAGCGAGAUUGCCACCACCUUUCCCCUUCCAGCCGAUCGCAGCUGUCUGAUCACAAACCGACAGCCCAGAUCGGAUUUGACCAGGUCAAUACCGGUCAAGCCGAGAUGCAUGCUGCUUUUGCAAGAAGGCCCCUAUUUUUCUCUCGUUUUGCACUUGAGGUCCUACGCAGUUCAAAAGUAAUUAGAUCUAGAUCCUUUUUCUUCUGUUUUAGCCCUGUUCUUUUAUAAAAUCCCACCCGCCAUCCUGUUUGGUAUUUUGACAUGUUAGACCUUCUAUUUAUAUGUUUAAUUAGGUUUUAGCCCUUGGUUUCUUUAAGUUUAGCUCUUGGAAGUUUAGUUUUCUCGCAGUUAAGCCCCUGAACCUUGUUUAGUUCAUAUCUUUAGCGUUUUAAAUCCGUUUUAAGAGAUUCUUACGCCCAUAAGUUCGUGUUGAUGCAUAGAUUAGUUGACUUAUACGGACCUUGCUGAUUCAGCUCCUUCAUUGUGCUUCAGAUCUCGCUAGUGAAGAAUAAUGGAUGGGCUUUGGUUGAGCUUGUAGAUCGACCUGCAGUUGCAGUGAAUGUGCUGAGGACUGGCGGUACCAAUAAUGGGAGGCCGCUGCUCUGCUUGCUACCAAGGCCUGCGACGCUUGGACGCCAUUCAGAGUGCAUAAUUUCCAAGGAUCUCAAGGGCUCCACACCACGUUCCAAGUGUUUUUUCUUUGCCGAGUGUUUUUAGCUCGGCACUUGGCAAAGAGCUUGUUUGCCGAGUGUCCGAAAAAAACACUUGGCAAAGAGAAAACACUCGGCAAAUUUGAUGUUUCCCGUAGUGAUGUACUAUUCAAACUUGAACUGGGAUGCAGGCUUCAGUACCAAAGAGAGCUCUGGGCGCGGGUGAGCAGUGAGCUGGCCGGGCAGGGAGCUCCAAAGCGACAGCAACAAAGAGAGAAAUGCUAAGAGUAAGAACGACACACGAGGUCACUUCACAUAGAUAAUAGCAGUACGAACCAUACAAUAUCCUCUCUCAGUUUCACUCCGCCUCACACACGGCUAGCACACCAUGCAUGCCGAUUUCAUAUUAUUAAUAUUAUUUUUUGGAUGGUUGUUGAAACUAUAUAUAUAGUUAGUCCAAUCUCACGUUUCCGAUUAUAAAAAUCAACGUAAAGAGAUCGGUAGGGAGAGCCGGCAUAAUGAAGCCGACGCGUGUAAUAAGCACCAGAGCCGGCAUUUAUACAAACUGGUACGAAUAGUAAAAAACUAGAAUUUAUAAAUAAAAAAAUGAUUUGCACAUCUAUGCAAUAAUUAGGGGUUAGUGGCAGGUCUAGAGAGAUAUCUCAUCAUUAUAUCCGGUUUAACGAGGAUAAAAAAGAGUGUAUUUUCCACUCAUCAUGUUGUCUUUUCGCAGCGGUACCACUUUUCGUGUGUUGUAUCGGUCCCCUAAUACGGAGUCUCCGAGGCCCGAGAAAAUAAGGAAAGUGAUAGUAGCCCAGAAAUCGGCCAAGUUUCUUUCCCCUUUGGCUUUCCUACUAGGAUUCAGAAUCCUCUUUCGCAUGACAAUCUUAAUUAUCUCCCAUACUCCAAAACUCACAAAAACAUCAAGAGUCCGCUGAGAAUAAAUUUAAGUAAAAAACAUGCACACACAGAUAAUAAUAAUAAUCAUGUUUCCAUAAAAUUGCUAAGUCCAGAGAUAAUACAUAAACAUAGUAGACUGUUCAUGACACAUAUCACGGUGGACAGUGUUUGUGUCCUUAUUACAAGCAACGAGAGAUGCUCGUCACCAACACGCGCGCGCACAGAUGCACGACAUACAUAUAGUAGAGACCAACAGAUGGUCGUCCCAUAUGGUGAACAAUUUAUUGGAGAUAAAUAUUAACGUAACUUGGCCAUAGCUUGAAGCAUAGCAACAUAUGCCUAUGAGUGGCAUUCAUGCUAUCGUUUUAGGCUUGUCCAGCUCCUUCCAUCUUAGCAAGCACUUCCAUUUCUACCAUCUUAGCAGCAACUGUCAAAUUGAGAUACGGAAAUCCCAUUAGCGCAUGAGUUAAUUUUGCAGUGGAAAUAGAGUACAAGAUGUCUUCAUGAUGUAAGUAAUAUGCCUGAAGUUGUGAGAUGGGAAGUGAAGUCAACAAAUUACAUUAACGGAAAUGCAUGGAAGGCCACACAUACGUAUUAGUCCAUGAUAUGCUACAAAGCUUGUAUGUACAUAUAGCAAAUUAAAUGCAUUAAUUGAAUAGAGUGUGUUUAGUGAAUUUACCAGAAUCGUCCAGAAAACAUGGGAAACAGCAAGUGUUCUUGCAGACUGCGUCGGAGGCACCCGCACGAAUACAAAGCUGACAACAUAGUUUUGCCUGGGCGGAUGCGCAGCAGCCGCACUCCGCCGCGGUGGGGUUAACAUUGAGGCUCAAGAUGACCAGGCACAUGAUCACCAUCAAAGUGGUAGUCCUCUUUCCCUCCAUUGCCUCCUCUUAGCUUGCUGCUACCUUCCUUGGUUACCUAGCUAAGUUUAUUGGUUUUGUGUUGAGAGGUGUGAUUCUUGAAUGGACGUUGCCGGCGGCAAUUUAUAGGCAGCUGAGCUAUGUGAUGAUAUGGACUAGGUGCAAAUGGGUGGUUAAUGGCAAGGAAAGGGGCGUCAGACAAAGCCCAAUGGCAACUGCUGACAUGCGAUUAAAUUCAGAUCCACAUCCGGCCAUUCAAUAAUACGGUUGGAGUUGUGGCACAGAUAUAUUAUUGCAUGAUCAUCAAGAUAAGAUCGUACAGUGACUGAGUGAGACAAUAAAUAGCCAAGUAAACUAUUUUAUCCUGCUGCAAGCUGCAUUCAUAAGUUUAUUUCACCUUUGAUCACAAUACUCUUCACACACGUACGUCUCAGGGAGAUCUCACUUCCGCUGGACUGCUCACUUCCGCUGUCGUCGGUACUGCCAAAGACAUAAGCUCACAUCUGCUAUUGCGGAGCAGGCCAAUUUGCUGCGGAACUUCGGCGACGACCUGAAGGACAUGAACUCGGUGCUGGAGUCCAUCUCAGCAGCGCUCUAGGACGCUGACACCGGUAGAAAAACGACCUUCCAUCGUCAACAAAAAUCCCGGUAGCUUUUUUACUCGGUACUAAAGAGGUUUUAAUCUCGUGCAAACACCUUUAGUCCAGAUUGCUAUUACCACGCAACCCGGACUAAAGCGUCCCCCGCGAGUUAGUAUAUAAGGAUUGCAUCCUUUACUCAGUCAGAUAUAAUAUGUAGGUGAGAUGGUAAGGAAGCUAUGCGUGAGGCUUCAGGUUGUGGGUUCGAAUCCAAGUGGGUGCAGCUGUGGCUUAAGCGGCUGAGGCACGCCGCCAUAGACAUCUCAGAUUUGCUCGAAGACUACCAAGACACUAGUGAACCCUUAACAGUAAAGGUGAGUACUUAUGAAUGUCAGCAUCCAUGUUGUCCAUGCUUCCAAUGUAAUAACAAGAUGGACUACUCUUCCUAGCGGACUCUUCACAACCACUCGUAAAGCUAUGCGUUUCUCAAUGCAAUUUCGUAGAAGCCAAUCGAUCCAACCAAGUGACUAAAUCAUUCGUCCUUUCCAAUGAUGUGCAUCAGGUUUUCUAUAUGAAGGGCAUGUCUAGCAAACCUAAGAUUUCAGAAGAAAAAGAAAAAUCAUUGGAGCCAAAGAGCCACAUAGUUCUUCUAGGAAAAAAAUCAUGGGAGUCGAGAACAUAUCAAACCAAUCAGGGGAUUAUGGUCAGCUUAAUGGCAUGCCUCCAUUCGAUGUCGAAGUUCACCCAAGCAUCAUGUUAGCCAAACAUCAAAUGUUCGUGCGUUGUUACGGUAAAGAUCAAUUGUGUUUUUUAAACUCUUGGAAUUUUUUUAUCUAAGUUUUUAUUUACACUUAUUGGAUGUCUACACAUUUGCUAGAAAACUAAAAUAAUUUGGACUUAAUUAUUUCUUUCAACUGAAGUACUCACUAAAUUUCUACCUUUUUAUUUAAGCAAGAGAGUUGCUAAAAAAAAUGGAUACGUAACCAUGUUGUAUCAUACAAAGUAACCACGUUUCACAUAUAGUCCGGCUUAGCAAACACCAUUGUUUUCUGAACAUAGCGUACAUGAGUUAACAGACAUGGAUUUAUUUCUAUUGCAAGUAGCAUAGCGUACAACCUGCCUGCACCGAUGCAGCUCAAUAUGCGAUAAUUUUUAUCUUCCCAUGUAAUUUUUCUACUCUAGUACAUAUUGAACUCCACAUUAAUGUCAUGUUCUUUCGCGCCCCAGAAGGUUCCUAAAGUUUGGAAACUUAAUAGAUAGCCAGAAUUUUUUUUAAAGAUAUUUAUAUGGAUACUUGUAUGUUCUUUCCAAACUAACAAUAUUGUUUACCAAUAUCAGAAGGAAUAUGGUUAGGAGCCAUUGCCGCAUAUGGCAGGUGAUGGUAGAUGGCGUAUGGGGUUUCGUUAAUUUAAUGGUAUAAUAAGCUGAAAUACAUUUUCUAUUUGCAAAUGAAUCAUAGCUGAAAUUGGUGGGAUUGUUUUUUCGCCGGUUUAGCAUCCUGUGCACCAGUUCAACCGGAGGGAAGCUGUUUUUUUUCUUUGGUUUUCCACCGGUUCACCGAGACCGAUGACAAUUUUAUGGCAGAAUCAUUACUUGUUUUACUAUUAGGUGAAGAUUUUAGCGUUUAGGUAUCUCACAUUAAACGCAACUUCAACAAUCUAUUUCUAGUGUAUAAUGUAGGAGACCCCGUAAAGAGUCUACACACACAUAUAUGUUGACUAUGAAUGUAAGUUUGUUGGUUUUAUGUAUGUUCGUUUGGAGUUUAUAUAAAUUUUACAUUUUAUAGUUUUGUGUAUAUGACGAAGAUCCAUGACUUGCAUUAAUUUAGCCUUUCUUCCAACAACUCUUAUGCAUGAUGUUUCUAGGCGAGCGUACUGGUUGCAAUUUUGGUCCCCGAUAUAGUGUGAGGACUUAAGGGACACGUGCAGGUCGUAACCUUAGAUAUUUUUGCUGAGAAUGGAUGAAGAAGCAAUAAUAUACUUUGCUUCUGAUUUUCUCCAUGUCAUUUGCUUACUCUUAUCCCUUUUAUUUAUCAUUAUAAGAUGAAAAUAUUGUAAAAACUUGGCUACGUGCGGUCGCAGAAGCUAGAGACUAAAGCGUCCCCCACGAGUUACUAUAUAAAAGGAUUGCAUCCUCUACUCAGUCAUAUGUACUGUGUAGGUGAGAUGGUAAGGAAGCUAUGUGUGAGGCUUGAGGUUGUAGGUUCGAAUCCCACGCACCGCGUGCGCAUGCGCAUAUUUUGCGUGAAAAAUCGCAUGACUUGUGGUCGGCCAAGGAGAAGUGCGUGCGGCUGAGGCACGCCGCCAUAGACAUCUCGGAUUUGCUCCAAGACUACCAAGACACUAGCGAACCCUUAACGGCAAAGUUGAGUACUUACGCGUGUUAGCAUCUAUGUUGUCCAUGCUUCCAAUGCAAUAACAAGAAGGGCUACUCAUCCUAGCGGAUUCUUCACAACCACUCGUAAAGCUAUGCGUUUCUCAAUGCAAUUUCGUAGAUGUCAAUCGAUCCAACCAAGCGACUGAAUCAUUCGUCCUUGCUAAUGAUGUGCAUCAGGUUUUCUAUAUGAAGAACAUGUCUAGCAAAUCCAAGAUUUCAGAAGAAAAAUAAAAAUCAUGAGAACCAAAGCACCACGUAGUUCUUCCAGGUAAAAAAAACAAUCAUCCACUGGGAUGACACACAGUAGCGAUCCAAAACGUCCAUAUUAAGACUUUUUGAUAGCAGAAAAAACAUGAAAAUGUCUAAUAUUUGUAGUAUUAAAAGGAAAAAUAAUAUAUUCACUUGACCUUUUUUUCGUAGCAACGCACCGGUGCGUAGUCAGACUUAGGCCACGUUUGGAUACUCCCUACUAAAGUUUAGCACCUGUCACAUAGGAUGUUUGGAUACUAAUUAGGAGUAUUAAACAUAGGCUAAUUAUAAAACUAAUUGAACAGAUGGAGUCUAAUUUGCGAGACGAAUCUAUUAAGCCUAACUAGUCCAUGAUUUGACAAUGUGGUGCUACAGUAACCAUUUGCUAAUGGUGGAUUAAUUAGGCUUAAUAGAUUCGUCUCGCGAAUUAACAUAGGGUUCUGCAAUUAAUUUUAUAAUUAGCUCAUGUCUAGUCCUUCUAAUUAGCAUCCGAACAUCUGAUAUGAUACUGCUAAAGUUUAUCACCUAGUAUCCAAAUACCCCCUUAAUGCACGAUGCCUGUGCAUCCACUGGGCCUACCCUCGUGGAUCACGCGCUCGUGGAUCACGCGCACCAUGACAUGGCUCAUUAGCUAGUCGUGCUAAUCCUUACCACCAAAUUAAAAACUAGCAUGUGUUGUGUGUUUGUGACCCUAAACGACUACCACCUUCCCGAGUCCACCGGAGUUGCCAGUUCACCACUAAGCUGACUCUCCGAGCUUCAUGUCACUGUCACCGCUCCAAAGACCUAGAUCGGUUCGCUGUGCACCCCGCUUCGUCCUGAGCUAAAUCCCAUCACGAAAGGUGACCGGAUGCUCGUUUUCGAGCGAAUUCUAGCGAGAUUGCCACCACCUUUCCCCUUCCAGCCGAUCGCAGCUGUCUGAUCACAAACCGACAGCCCAGAUCGGAUUUGACCAGGUCAAUACCGGUCAAGCCGAGAUGCAUGCUGCUUUUGCAAGAAGGCCCCUAUUUUUCUCUCUUUUUGCACUUGAGGUCCUACGCAGUUCAAAAGUAAUUAGAUCUAGAUCCUUUUUCUUCUGUUUUAGCCCUGUUCUUUUAUAAAAUCCCACCCGCCAUCCUGUUUGGUAUUUUGACAUGUUAGACCUUCUAUUUAUAUGUUUAAUUAGGUUUUAGCCCUUGGUUUCUUUAAGUUUAGCUCUUGGAAGUUUAGUUUUCUCGCAGUUAAGCCCCUGAACCUUGUUUAGUUCAUAUCUUUAGCGUUUUAAAUCCGUUUUAAGAGAUUCUUACGCCCAUAAGUUCGUGUUGAUGCAUAGAUUAGUUGACUUAUACGGACCUUGCUGAUUCAGCUCCUUCAUUGUGCUUCAGAUCUCGCUAGUGAAGAAUAAUGGAUGGGCUUUGGUUGAGCUUGUAGAUCGACCUGCAGUUGCAGUGAAUGUGCUGAGGACUGGCGGUACCAAUAAUGGGAGGCCGCUGCUCUGCUUGCUACCAAGGCCUGCGACGCUUGGACGCCAUUCAGAGUGCAUAAUUUCCAAGGAUCUCAAGGGCUCCACACCACGUUCCAAGUGUUUUUUCUUUGCCGAGUGUUUUUAGCUCGGCACUUGGCAAAGAGCUUGUUUGCCGAGUGUCCGAAAAAAACACUUGGCAAAGAGAAAACACUCGGCAAAUUUGAUGUUUCCCGUAGUGAUGUACUAUUCAAACUUGAACUGGGAUGCAGGCUUCAGUACCAAAGAGAGCUCUGGGCGCGGGUGAGCAGUGAGCUGGCCGGGCAGGGAGCUCCAAAGCGACAGCAACAAAGAGAGAAAUGCUAAGAGUAAGAACGACACACGAGGUCACUUCACAUAGAUAAUAGCAGUACGAACCAUACAAUAUCCUCUCUCAGUUUCACUCCGCCUCACACACGGCUAGCACACCAUGCAUGCCGAUUUCAUAUUAUUAAUAUUAUUUUUUGGAUGGUUGUUGAAACUAUAUAUAUAGUUAGUCCAAUCUCACGUUUCCGAUUAUAAAAAUCAACGUAAAGAGAUCGGUAGGGAGAGCCGGCAUAAUGAAGCCGACGCGUGUAAUAAGCACCAGAGCCGGCAUUUAUACAAACUGGUACGAAUAGUAAAAAACUAGAAUUUAUAAAUAAAAAAAUGAUUUGCACAUCUAUGCAAUAAUUAGGGGUUAGUGGCAGGUCUAGAGAGAUAUCUCAUCAUUAUAUCCGGUUUAACGAGGAUAAAAAAGAGUGUAUUUUCCACUCAUCAUGUUGUCUUUUCGCAGCGGUACCACUUUUCGUGUGUUGUAUCGGUCCCCUAAUACGGAGUCUCCGAGGCCCGAGAAAAUAAGGAAAGUGAUAGUAGCCCAGAAAUCGGCCAAGUUUCUUUCCCCUUUGGCUUUCCUACUAGGAUUCAGAAUCCUCUUUCGCAUGACAAUCUUAAUUAUCUCCCAUACUCCAAAACUCACAAAAACAUCAAGAGUCCGCUGAGAAUAAAUUUAAGUAAAAAACAUGCACACACAGAUAAUAAUAAUAAUCAUGUUUCCAUAAAAUUGCUAAGUCCAGAGAUAAUACAUAAACAUAGUAGACUGUUCAUGACACAUAUCACGGUGGACAGUGUUUGUGUCCUUAUUACAAGCAACGAGAGAUGCUCGUCACCAACACGCGCGCGCACAGAUGCACGACAUACAUAUAGUAGAGACCAACAGAUGGUCGUCCCAUAUGGUGAACAAUUUAUUGGAGAUAAAUAUUAACGUAACUUGGCCAUAGCUUGAAGCAUAGCAACAUAUGCCUAUGAGUGGCAUUCAUGCUAUCGUUUUAGGCUUGUCCAGCUCCUUCCAUCUUAGCAAGCACUUCCAUUUCUACCAUCUUAGCAGCAACUGUCAAAUUGAGAUACGGAAAUCCCAUUAGCGCAUGAGUUAAUUUUGCAGUGGAAAUAGAGUACAAGAUGUCUUCAUGAUGUAAGUAAUAUGCCUGAAGUUGUGAGAUGGGAAGUGAAGUCAACAAAUUACAUUAACGGAAAUGCAUGGAAGGCCACACAUACGUAUUAGUCCAUGAUAUGCUACAAAGCUUGUAUGUACAUAUAGCAAAUUAAAUGCAUUAAUUGAAUAGAGUGUGUUUAGUGAAUUUACCAGAAUCGUCCAGAAAACAUGGGAAACAGCAAGUGUUCUUGCAGACUGCGUCGGAGGCACCCGCACGAAUACAAAGCUGACAACAUAGUUUUGCCUGGGCGGAUGCGCAGCAGCCGCACUCCGCCGCGGUGGGGUUAACAUUGAGGCUCAAGAUGACCAGGCACAUGAUCACCAUCAAAGUGGUAGUCCUCUUUCCCUCCAUUGCCUCCUCUUAGCUUGCUGCUACCUUCCUUGGUUACCUAGCUAAGUUUAUUGGUUUUGUGUUGAGAGGUGUGAUUCUUGAAUGGACGUUGCCGGCGGCAAUUUAUAGGCAGCUGAGCUAUGUGAUGAUAUGGACUAGGUGCAAAUGGGUGGUUAAUGGCAAGGAAAGGGGCGUCAGACAAAGCCCAAUGGCAACUGCUGACAUGCGAUUAAAUUCAGAUCCACAUCCGGCCAUUCAAUAAUACGGUUGGAGUUGUGGCACAGAUAUAUUAUUGCAUGAUCAUCAAGAUAAGAUCGUACAGUGACUGAGUGAGACAAUAAAUAGCCAAGUAAACUAUUUUAUCCUGCUGCAAGCUGCAUUCAUAAGUUUAUUUCACCUUUGAUCACAAUACUCUUCACACACGUACGUCUCAGGGAGAUCUCACUUCCGCUGGACUGCUCACUUCCGCUGUCGUCGGUACUGCCAAAGACAUAAGCUCACAUCUGCUAUUGCGGAGCAGGCCAAUUUGCUGCGGAACUUCGGCGACGACCUGAAGGACAUGAACUCGGUGCUGGAGUCCAUCUCAGCAGCGCUCUAGGACGCUGACACCGGUAGAAAAACGACCUUCCAUCGUCAACAAAAAUCCCGGUAGCUUUUUUACUCGGUACUAAAGAGGUUUUAAUCUCGUGCAAACACCUUUAGUCCGGAUUGCUGUUACCACGCAACCCGAACUAAAGCGUCCCCCACGAGUUACUAUAUAAGGAUUGCAUCCUUUACUCAGUCAGAUAUAAUGUGUAGGUGAGAUGGUAAGGAAGCUAUACGUGAGGCUUCAGGUUGUGGGUUCGAAUCCAAGGAGAAGUGGGUGCAGCUGUGGCUUAAGCGGCUGAGGCACGCCGCCAUAGACAUCUCAGAUUUGCUCGAAGACUACCAAGACACUAGUGAACCCUUAACAGUAAAGGUGAGUACUUAUGAAUGUCAGCAUCCAUGUUGUCCAUGCUUCCAAUGUAAUAACAAGAUGGACUACUCUUCCUAGCGGACUCUUCACAACCACUCGUAAAGCUAUACGUUUCUCAAUGCAAUUUCGUAGAAGCCAAUCGAUCCAACCAAGUGACUAAAUCAUUCAUCCUUUCCAAUGAUGUGCAUCAGGUUUUCUACAUGAAGGGCAUCUCUAGCAAACCCAAGAUUUCAGAAGAAAAAGAAAAAUCAUUGGAGCCAAAGAGCCACAUAGUUCUUCCAGGAAAAAAAAAUCAUGGGAGUCGAGAACAAAUCAAACCAAUCAGAGGAUUAUGGUCAGCUUAAUGGCAUGCCUCCAUUCGAUGUCGAAGUUCACCCAAGCAUCAUGUUAGCCAAACAUCAAAUGUUCGUGCGUUGUUACGGUAAAGAUCAAUUGUGUUUUUUAAACUCAUGGAAUUUUUUUUCUAAGUUUUUAUUACACUUAUUGGAUGUCUACACAUUUGCUAGAAAACCAAAAUAAUUUGGACUUAAUUAUUUCUUUCAACUGAAGUACUCACUAAAUUUCUACCUUUUUAUUUAAGCAAGAGAGUUGCUAAAAAAAAUGGAUACAUAACCAUGUUGUAUCGUACAAAGCAACCACAUUUCACAUAUAGUCCGGCUUACCAAACACCAUUUUUUACUGAACAUAGCGUACAUGAGUUAAGAGACAUGGAUUUAUUUCUAUUGCAAGUAGCAUAGCGUACAACCUGCCUGCACCGAUGCAGCUCAAUAUGCGAUAAUUUUUAUCUUCCCAUGUAAUUUUUCUACUCUAGUACAUAUUGAACUCCACAUUAAUGUCAUGUUCUUUGGCGCCCCAGACGGUUCCUAAAGUUUGGAAACAAAAUAGAUAGCCAGAAAUUUUUUUAAAAAAUAUUUAUAUGGAUAUUUGUAUGUUCUUUGCAAACUAACAAUAUUGUUUACCAAUAUCAAAAGGAAUAUGGCUAGGAGCCAUUGCCGCAUAUGGCAGGUGAUGGUAGAUGGCGUAUGGGAUUUCGUUAAUUUAAUGGUAUAAUAAGCUGAAAUACAUUUUCUAUUUGCAAAUGAAUCAUAGCUGAAAGUGGUGAGAUUGUUUUUUCGCCGGUUUAGCAUCCUGUGCACCGGUUCAACUGGAGGGAAGCGGUUCACCGAGACGGAUGACAAUUUUACGGCAGAAUCAUUACUUGUUUUAUUAUUAGGUGAAGAUUUUAGCUUUUAGGUAUCUCACAUUAACAAUCUGUUUCUAGUGUAUAAUGUAGGAGACCCGUAAAGAGUCUACACACACAUAUAUAUGUUGACUAUGAAUGUAAGUUUGUUGGUUUUAUGUAUGUUCAUUUGGAGUUUAUAUAAAUUUUACAUUUUAUAGUUUUGUGUAUAUGACGAAGAUCCAUGACUUGCAUUAAUUUAACCUUUCUUCCAACAACUCUUAUGCAUGCUGUUUCUAGGGGAGCGCACUGGUUGCAAUUUUGGUCCCCGAUAUAGCAUGAGGACUUAAGGGAGACGGGCACGUCGUAACCUUAGAUAUUUUUGCAAGAAGCAAAUUAUACUUUGCUUUUGAUUUUCUCCAUGCCAUUUGCUGACUCUUAUCCCUUUUAUUUAUCAUUAUAAGAUGAAAAUAUUGUAAAAACUUGGUUACGUGCGGUCGCAGAAGCUAGAGACUAUUUCUUUUUUUAAAAAUACGCAAGAGGGAGAAACUUGGUAACAGCUAGACAGUGAAGAUCGCAUUUCAUAAGAAAGAUGGUGCACGUUCUUGUUUGGCUGUUAACGAAAUGACUUCGUUUCACCACACCACCAGAGAGCCCCAUUGCACUUGCAGCAAAAGCGUGGAGCCGCUUUCAACCAGCGUGCAAUAAUGCAGUCCCGCGUGUCUUGGUCUUACAGGAUAUUUGGUUCUUUAGUCCGGACUAAAAUUCAUGUCGCAUAGAAUAUUCAGAUGUUAAAUAGGAGGACUAAACAUGAGCUAAUUAUAAAAAUAAUUACACAAAUGGAGGCUAAUUCCCAAGACAAAUCUAUUAAGUCUAAUUAAUCCAUCAUUAGCACAUGUUUACCGUAGCACCGUAUUGUCAAAUCAUGGACUAAUUAGGCUUAAUAAAUUCGUCUCGCAAGUUAGUCUCCAUCUAUACAAUUUGUUUUAUAAUUAGUCAAUGUUUAAUACUCUAUCUAAACAUUCAAUGUGACUGAAAUUUUAGGAGGUCCUAAAGAACCAAACACCCCUUAGUCUCCGCCUGAACUAUAGCAGGUGCUGGCAGCGGUAGCAGGGUCGUCCAUUAUAUCUAUGGAUGGAAAUGAUCUGAUUCGGAUGGAAUCGAAUUCGAAUAGCACUUUUUACCACAUACUAAUCUGAAUUGGAUGUUCUCGAAUGUGAAUGCAAAACGGAUAGUUCAAAUUUGAAUACUUUGCGGAUUUUUGCAUAAUAUUAAUCGAAGAGAAUUUGUUAAAUUUAGCCGAGACAUAAAUUUUUCUAAAUUCAAAUACUUUGCAGAUUUUCGAAUGCAAAUUUUUUCAUACGAUCUCGGUUGAAUACAAACUUUAUAUCAAAGUUGUAUAUUUAGAUUAUAUAUAAAACUUUGUAGUUGACCUCCUUUUCAUUUAAAAUUUUUUAAUAGCUCAAAACAUUAUUCUAAGCUUUCUAAUUUCAAAAUCUUGAAUUUUAAAUUUUUCAAACGACCUCGGAUGCAAACAAGCUCUAUAUCAAAGUGCUUAAUGAGAUAUAAAAUUUUGUAGUUGACAAGUUUUUUAGUUGAAAACAUUUAGUUAUCACAAACAUACAAGUUCUUCAUUUGAUGUCGAGGAUUGGAAGUGUUGAGUUUGAAGAAUAUAUUCUUUGAUUACAAACUUUUCCAUAUGAUCUUGGAUGAAUACGAACUUUAUUUCAAAGUUGCAAAUUUAGAUUAGACCAAAAACAGUAUAGUUUACAAUUUUUUCAUUCAAAAUUAUUUAGUAGCUCAAAAUGUUAUUCUAAACUCUCUAAUUUUGAAAUCUUGAAUUUUAAAAUUUUCAAAUGACCUCGGAUGCAAACAAGCUCUAUAUCGAAGUGGUAGUUCUUAAUGAGAUAUAAAAUUUUGUAGUUCCAUCUGAGAUCAUUUAACAGUCACAAAUAUACAAGUUUUUCAUAUGAUGCUAAGGAUCAGAAAGAUUAAGUUUGAAGGCUGUAUUUUUUUAAUACAAAUUUUUGCAUACGAUCUCGGAUGAAUACAAACUUUAUAUCAAAAUUGUAGAGCUCGAUGAGAAUUUAAACUUUGUAGUUGAUAUAUUUUUCAUUCGAGAAUGUUUAGUGGUCCAAACAUGUAUUAUAAGUUCAGAGAAGAAACACACAAUCGGCCACGUCAUCAAUUGACAACUUCCAAACUGAGCAUUCCUAUUGGUUCACACCUUUCCCUUUCAACUCGUCAAGCUUAUCUCCUCCCACUCCUCCAUCGUUCACUCCCCCUUCCCCUUCCUCUCUCCCUCCCUCCCUCCGCUCCAGCAGUGGCAGCCCGACCUGCCUCCUAGGACGGUGGUGUGCGGGGCUCGGGCAUCCCUGGCCUCUAGUGGCGUGGCAGGGCGGCCUCCAGCAGCGAUGGCGGAACUCGGCCUCCGGUGGCGCACAGGCAGCGCAGCCUACCUGGUCAAAGGCGGCGCAACAGGGCGACCUCCCCAGCCUCCGGCGGCGCGCAGGGCAUCCAUGACCUCCCCGGCCUCCCUUGCCAGAGGUGGUGCGCGGGGCUGCGCCGACCUCCCCAACCAGAGGUGGCAAGGCCCCAGCUUACGGCGGCGCGUGGCUCCCCAGCUAGGGUGUGGUGGGGCGGCGGCAAGUCAGGCGUGGCCGCGUGGGGGUGGGGGGAGGGGGUUGGGCUGGGCGGAUUCAGAUAGUAUCCAUUUAACCAUCCGAAAUGUGGAUAUCCGUUUAACAAUCCGUUUAGCAAAACCGAAUUUGGAUACUUCCACUUAAGUAUCCAACUAGGAUUCGAAUGCGGAUGGUCCUACCAUAUUGUUAUUUCAGCGGAUACGAAUAUGGGAUAAUUCGAAUAACGACUUACCCAUCCCUGAUUAUAUCCGUGUAAAUAAAUAAUUGCGGCAGCAGGUUCCCGUCGCCACGCCCCCGUCAAACCAAACAAUUGCUUGCGCGACACCGUGUUACUAGAUCUUGUACAGUACUCCCUCCGUUGCAGUACUCCCUAAUGAAAGUUGAGAAUCGAUCGACAACCACGGCUAGUUGCUAUGCACUCGAUCAGAUGGUCCAGGCGCCCGCUGGUAAUCAGGUCGUGGUUCACGCGCAUCAGGCCAGCUAUGACGUUGCCAGCAGUGCUCAGUACACAAAUCUAGCUAUCAGUCGGAUCCAAUUGGGCAGGCAUUUGCACUGUGGUUGUGUUUGAACCUGUAGAUGUCGUUGUCAUUAUCAGGCACCAUACAUCCUCUCUCAGAGGGUGUUUCACCCCCUAAACUUUAGCCCCUCUCACAUCGAAUGUUUUAGAUACUAAUUAGGAAUAUUAAACAUAGAAAAUUUACUAAACCCAUUACAUGGAUGGAGGGUAAACGGCGAGACAAAUCUAUUAAAUCUAAUUAGUCCAUGAUUUGACAAUGUGCUGCUAUAGUAACUAUUUGCUAAUGAUGGAUUAAUUAGACUUAAUAGAUUUUUCUUGCUGUUUAGCCUCCGUCUGUGCAAUUAGUUUUAUAAUUAAUUCAUAUUUAGUCCUCCUAAUUAGUCUCCGAAUAUUUGAUGUGACACGGACUAAACUUUAGAUAGCACACCAGGGACCGACACCAUGCAUGCUGAUUUCAUAUCAUAAUUAAGGAAAGUGAUAUCAUAAUUAAGGAAAGUGGUAGCAUCCAAGAAAUCGAUCAUGUUUCUUCCCCCUUUGGCUUUCCUACUAGGAUUUGGAUAGCGGGCCUUCCUACUAGGAUUUGGAAUCCGCUAUCGCAUGACUAUCUUAAUUAUGUCCCAUAGUCCAAAACUCACAAAACAUCAAAAAUCCAUCGAGAAUAAAUUAAGUAAAAAACAUGCGCACACAGAUAAUAAUAAUAAUAAUCAUGUUUCAAUAAAAUUGCUAAGAUUAGAGAUAGUACAUAAACAUAUUAGAUUGUUCGUGACACAUAUCAUGGUGGAUAGUGUCUGUGUCCUUAUUACAAGCAGCGAUAGAUGCUUGUCACCACACACACGCACGCACAGAUGCACGACAUACAUAUAGUUGAGACCAACGGAUGGACGUCCCAUAGGGUGAAUAAUUUAUUGGAGAUAAAUAUUAACAUAACUUGGCCAUAGCUUGAAGCAUAGCAACAUAUGCUUAUGAAUGGCAUUCAUGCGGGUAGCAAUGCUAUCAUAUGCUUUUAGGCUUGUCCUUAGCUUCUUCCAUCUUAUAGCAAACACUGCCAUUUCUUCCAUCUUAGCAGCAACUGUCAAAUUAAUUGAGAUAUGGAAAUCCCAUUAGCGCAUGAGUUAAUUUUGCAGUGGAAAUAGAGUAGAAGAUGUCUUCAUAAUGUAAGUAAUAUGACUCUGACAUAGGGAGUGAAGUCAACAAAUUACAUUAACGGAAAUGCAUGGAAGGCCACGCAUAUGUAUUAGUCCGAUAUGCUACAAAGCUUGUAUGUACAUAUAAUAAAUUAAAUGCAUUGAAUAGAGUGAUUUUAGUGAAUUUACCUAAAUCGGAUUAAAAAACAUGGGAAACAACAAGUGUUCUUGUAGGGCUUUGUUUAGUUCCCAAAUUGGGAGUAGCAAAGUUUGCAUUUUACCAUAAAUGCGCAACUAUAGCAUGUAGCAUUUUGUUUGUAUUUGUGAAUUAUUAUCCAAACAUUGACUAAUUAGGCUCAAAAGAUUCAUCUCGCAAAGUACAACAAAACUGUGCAAUUAGUUUUUGAUUUCGUCUACAUUUAGUACUCCGUGCAUGUACCGCAAGUUUGAUGUGAUGGGGAAUCUUGCUUUUCAAUAGUGACAAAGUUGGGAUUUCGGGGGGAAGGCCUGUGUCGGAGCCACAUGCAAGAAUGGCUGACAUUGAGGCUCAGACAAAGCCCAAUGGCAACUGCUGACAUGCGAUUAAAUUUAGAUAUCCACAUCCAGCCAUUCACAUUUAUGAGAUAUGGACACGGUGCAAAUGGGUGGGGUCCUGAUAUGGAGGUGCGAAUGGCUGUCUACUUGUAUAGUGUAGCUCCAAUGUACGUAUAUGUAUCUUAUGCAUGUAUACAGUUGCACAAACUCUGAACCAACUCUUCAUAACAGGUCUUUGUUACCAAGUAACUUUACUUUUGCACGUUUCAGCCGAGAGGUAGAAGAGAAUAUUUUUGCAUUUUCCAUGUGCGUCAGUGGUAGAGAACUAGGAAUUAGUUCCGGAUGGUAGGGCACAAAUCUUCCAAACAACUAUCCGAAAUUAAGCAAUCGAGAUAAAGGGUGCCAUCUAUUCUCUCCGAAAAACACAGGUACCAAAAAGAAGAAGAGAAGAGGGAGGGCCUCCCGUUAAGGCCCGCUCGGGGUCUCCAUCCCACCACGCGCCCUCCCAACCCAAAGCCCAUCGUUUUCCCUCCGUCCCUCCCCUCUCCAUUGCCGCCGCCGCUCCCCUCAUCCGAGCUCGAUACGGGUGGUCGGCGGCCCCUCCUCUCCGCUCCCGCCCCCGGCCUCCCUUUGACCGCCGGGCGCCGGCAUCACUGCCGCGGCCAACCCCAGGGCGCAGCGCGUGCCUCUAUUUCUCUCCCCCGUUCAAGGGCCCUUUGAUGGCGACGAGCACCCACCCACCAGGUAUGCCCUCCCCUUCUCUUCCUAACCCUAAUAUAUUCGGAUCUCACCCAGUCACAAUAUAUUACCUAAUAGCUUCGAUUUUGUUUGCAAAAAUCAUCACGUGCGCACCCAUGUCCGCUAGAUUCUUGCGCCUGAUCCUGUGCUGCUAUGGUUUGGGCGGGGUAGACUAGUUGAUUCGUGCACUUUUGGGUGCUUGUAGUGCUAGGUUUUGGAGGGGGAUAGCCCAGUUGAUUCCUCCGUUUUGGGUGCUCAUGGUGAUAGGAUUUGGAUGGGGAUAGCCCCAAUGAUUCGUGCGCCUUUGGGUGCUGGGGAUAGUUUUGGGUGCCUGGAUAGUCCAGUUUCAAUGUCAGUAUAUGCGUAUUUUGGGGAGAAUUUUGUUUUGGGUGGUUCUGGUGCUAGAGUUUCUGAUGCUUAGUAGCCCAGUUUCAAUCAAAUUCCCCCAUGGGUCGUGCACUACGGGAAACAAGAAAAUUGCCGAGUGUAUUUUUUUUGUCGAGUGUUUUUUUUCGAGCACUCAGCAAACAAGCUCUUCGCCGAGUGCCAAGUCAAAAACACUCGGCAAAAAAAAACACUCGGCAAAUCGGGGCUUUGCCGAGUGUCAAAUAAAAAACACUCGGCAAAGAAGGGGGUUUGCCGAGUGUUAAAAAAAACACUCGGCAAACAGGAGGGUUUGCCUAGUGUUUUUUUGACACUCGGCAAAAAAAUAAUUGUUUUUCCUCUUUUCACCUUGAAAUUUUUUCUACUCCCCACAUACAACACGUGGUACUCCAUGUUAAAAUUUGGUAUAUUUUUGGAUUUAUUUGCUAUAUUUAUUUAAUUAAUUGCAUUACAAGGAAAUUUUUGGUAUAAGUCAAAUUUGAACUGCAAGUGAUUCAAAUUGUGGAACAAAAUGAGUAGAAAAAUGAUAUUCAUGUUAUUUGGCUCAAUUUGAGACCUGACCCAUGAAAUGAAAAGAAAUUUCGAACAUCUUGUUCAGGAAACACGACAAUGAACAUGUGGCGGUAGUAUUUUUAAAUUGUAAAAAAAACAAGCAAAGUCUGAAAAUCAUGAGAUUUGUAGUUAUGUGAUGAUAUAAUACGUGGAAGCUGUGGAAAAAAAUUGGAAAGGUUUUGCACAUUUCAUCAUGUACGAUGAUUACAAACCGAAGCAUAUCAGAAGAAGAAUAGUAACUUUGAGAAGGAUUCGAUAAAAUUUAGAGUCGAAGUGACGGUCGAGUUCGGUUUGACUACAAAACUUUUUGUAUAGUCAGUAGAGAACAUAUCUUAUUUCGUGUGAAAAUUUGGUAUUUUUUGAAACUGUUGGAUAUUUUUAAUUUUUUUUUAAAAAAACUUUGCCGAGUGUCCUAGGGUAGACACUCGGCAAAGAAAAACUUUACCGAGUGCCCGCCUAGGACACUCAGCGAACCUUUUUUUAAACCUACCGGCUCCGGCCGGCCCAGCCCACAAACACCACCCGCCCCCCGCCCCCGCGCCUUCUUCCUCACGCCGCCCCCGCCCCCCACCCGUGCCUCCGGACCGCCCCCUCCUCCCCCUGGCCUCCCCUCACGCCGCCCCCCUCCUCCCCUAGCUCCCUCCACCGGCGGCCCUCCCUCCCCCGGCGCACAUCCUCCACUCCUCCUCCCCUUCCCUUCCCUCCCCUCCCCUCCCCUCUUCCUCCCCUGGCCGGAUCUGGCGCCCCUAGCUCCCCUUUCUUCCGCGGCCAGAUCUGGCGCCCUCCCGGCGGCGGGUCGUGGCGAUCGGGGCGGCGGCGGCGGAUCAGGCCGCGGGGCGGCGGCGGCGGCGGGUCGUGGCUACCGGGGCGGCGCCCUGCCCCUCCCCUCCCUCUCCAUCUCCGGCUGCCGUCCACCCCCUCCCCGGAUCCGCCCCCCUCCCCUCCGCGCGGCCAGCCCCUCCUCCCUCUCCGGCCGCCGCCCCGGCCCCUCCUCUCCCUUUCUCCGGCCACCGCCCCGCCCAUCUUCUCUGGAUCCGGCCGGAUCCGGCCGCCGCACAGCCCCUCCUCCCCGGAUCCGGUGGGCGCGGACUUCGUGGUGGUGGCGCCGGAUCCCUCCCCUCCCUCUCCAGAUAACUCCCUCCACUCCUCCGCUCUUCCCCUCUCUCGCGCGGCGGCCUCUCUCCGGCCGCCGCCCCGCCCCUCUCCCCGGAUCCGGGGGGGGGGGGACUCCGCCCCUCUGCCCCGGAUCCAGCUCCCCGACCCGCGAGUGGGGCGAGCUUGCUCAUGCGGUCGACGUCGAGGCCAGGGUGUGGUGGAGGUGGUGGCCGGCGGGUGUGGUGGUGGUGGCGGCGGCGGGCAUGGCGGCGCGGAGGCAAGGCACGGCGGCCGGUGGGAGGCACGGGUGCAAGGCGUCGACGGCAGGAGGCAAGGCACGGCAGCAUGGGAGGUGGUGCUGUGGUGGUGGUGCUGGCGGUGGUGGCGGCGGCGGAGCAGGAUGUGGUGGUGGCGGAGGAUGUUUUUUUUUCAAAAAUUUGUUGCCGAGUGUUUUCUCGGCACUCGGCAAAGACUUUACCGAGUGCCCGACACAAAACACUCGGCAACUCAGUGUUUGCCGACUGAAAAAUUGCCGUGUGCCGUUUGCCGAGUGUUACACUCGGCAAACGGUUCGCCGAGGGUUUUUUGCCCUUCGCCGAGUGCCCCUAGCACUCGGCAAUUUCACUAUCUCCCGUAGUGGUGGCUGGACUUAUGGGGGGAUCAUUGAUGGGGGACUAGUUGGAUACUUUUUGGCUGUUUUGGGAGUCCUUGGCAGCGGCUUCUCAGGGCGUACGUAGCCCAUUGUAGAUUCCAGCCGAGAAGAUUAAGGAAUUGUGACUGCAACCAUGUUACUUUUCUAGGACUCUGUUUCUGAUAUUGUUCCCGCUGCAUCUUUUCAUCCCCAUGGUGAAUGUUGCUGUUGAUCUGUAGAUUGGAUUUGUUCCUCGGUAGCUUUAUUAGAUUUGUGCUGAAUGAUAAUCUCUGCCUGUGAUAUUUUUCUUCAUUGCGGAUGUGUGCCGAGUAUUAUCCCCUUUGUUCAUUCUGUUGGCUUUUUUUAUUGUCUCUGUACUCGGCUGUUCAGCUUGUGCAGCUAAUGAUCUAAUGUAUUUUGUCGUAACUAUGUAUUUUUCGGAUGUGUGCCGAGUAUUAUCCCCUUUGUUUAUUCUGUUGGCUUGCUUUCAUUGAUCUUAAGAUAACUGGUGCUAUAAAUUCACACUAGCUGAUGCACUUGCAAAUAGCUAUGUAAAUAUGAAAAGAAGUAUUUUUUUAUCCUUUUGUUUGUUUGGCAUCAUAUCUGUUUAAAUGGCAUAGCAAUAAGAAUUUUUUGUUUUUGGGGAAUCAUAUCUGCUUAAAUGGUAUAGAAAAUGCUGAGUGCACUGUCAAAUAGAUUUUCCAGCAGUCUGCUUUCAGUUGUUUUUGCAAAUCCUCACAGGCCAGUGAACUGACUUUGUUUUUACCACCCCAUGCCAUUUAAAUGACUAAAUCAGUCAGCCUAAUACUAUAUAUGGUCAUGCUAUGAUCUUAUUUCUUGAAGCUCUAUAGGUCAACCCAUAAGGGUAACUUAGUUUUUCCUAUUCUGGCUGGGGAAGUGGAUACGAUGGCUAUCCUUGGUAGAGUUAAAUACAUUGGCGGCUCUUAGCGCGCCAAUGUGGCACCACAAUAUCGAACAUAUGUAGAAACCCCCUUGUUUUUUCUCAUAUCCCUCUCUCUCAGCGUCCUCUUCUCUUCUUCUCCUCUGUCUCCUCCCCUCCCAUCGCGUGCUUUAUUGCGCCGCCGCCAUCCGCCUCCAUGUAUGAACACGUCGUUUGUCAUGAAGAAGCAGUUGAUGAGGCAAUCAAGCAUGUGGUGCACAAGGUUCUUCUGCUGGCCAAGUCCGAGUCGAACAGCCGCGCAUUCAUUGGGGAAGCACGCGCCAGGCAUCACCAGGCUCCUCGUGCCCCUACUCUGCUCCAAGGACUCGGUGCUUCGACGCGCUGCUUUCCCUGUCCGGCGAGCGGGGAUCGUUGGGAGAUGAUCGAUGGAGGAUGGAGCUGAUCCUCCUGUACACGGUGCCGGUGGGGAGCAGGGAGCUGCGGAGCAGGUCCACGGGCGGCGCCAUUACAGCAGGUGCAGGCUAAGGGUAAUGAGCAGAUCGAGGCGAUGGAGGAGGACCCGCACGAGGUGCAGCUUCUUCGCCUCCUGCGCAAAGUCAGCGCCCAAGCAGCCGCUGAGGGACAGGCCGAGGCUUAGCUCGAUCUCAUCCGACUAAAUGGUGGCUGCACUCCCACAGUCCCACUGGUGCUCCUCCCUUCUGUCCGAACCUGCCGAGGAAAUCCCUCGAUGCCAUGGGUCCCGGCUGGACGACUACUCCUCCCACAGAUUGACUGAGGAAGAAGAGCUUCUCAGUGUCCAAAAAUUCAGUUACACUGGAAACAGCAACCAAUUACGUUCUUCCGGCUCAGCCAAGCCCCAAUCUCCUUGCUUCUGUGCGCCCCUGCUAAAUAUUCCAGAAACCAAUCUGGUUAGUUGUUUUUUCACAUUUUCAGUGCAUGCCGGUGCUGCUGUGUGCGGCAUGCAUGGAGUUGUCGUGGGAGUGCACGGUGGCUUAGCUGGUGCGCCAGUGCGCGGGCACGAACACAACGGUGAAGAUGGCAGGGCCAUCUCAAAGCUCCUGAGCACCUGCACGCGUCGCUGAGCAGGACAUGCUGCGACGGUGGGCGAGCGCUGCUAACGCCCUGGGGAAGAGCAGUGGGUGCAGAGAGAGGGAGCGAGGGAGAGGGGUUCUUGUAUAUGUUUGCUAGCGUGGCACCGUUUACGGUGCCCGCCUAAGUGGCAUUCACGUGUCAUUCAUCCCAAAUGGUGUUGCAAGGUUGAACCUAUUGUGGGAGGCUUUUGGUUUCCCUUGACAGUAUCACCAGUGAUAUCACUGCGUUCUGGUUAUGUAUGAAACACUUGUCCUUUUAAAACCUUUCUGAAUUUAGAAACGAAUUUGAAACAUUACCCUCAUUUCCAUGUUUUUCUAUCUUUUGUCCCUGUAAAAUCAAACUAAAUUUGAAUUAUUAUGUUCAGAACUACAAGCUGAUUUACUUGUCCCAUUUGCUAAUAACAGGGCCUUGUGAUUUCUAAUGAACAUUGCAGAGCAUGUUAUAAAGCGUAUGCAUGAACACCAAGGGGAUGAAACCAUUGGUAUAUUUCUCACAACCUUUUGAACUUAUCAUUUAGCAUAUUUGUGUUCUAGUGUGACGUUUCAGCCACGAGACAUGAGAAAUGUUAGCUAUGGAUUUUGGUUAUUCAUCAUGGGUUCACAGAUUUGUUUUUCUCUAAAAGAAUUGGGAAGUAGCUUUCUUUCUGGGUAUAUGUGGGGAAAUGCAUAUGCAAUCUUUUAUUUAUUGAGGUGACUGUAAAAUUCUUGUCUGACUGAAUAUGCGAUUUCAACCUACAUGCUAUACUUAGGGAAAUUUGUGAAUCUCCUAAUGUCUGCUGCAUGGCAUGAAUGCAUAUUUUACUGGUCCAUAAUGUGAAGUUCUGUAUAUAAACUUCUCGUGUUGACCCUUUAGAACAUGCUAACUGGAGAGUUUUCUAGAGUAGUUAAACAAGAGAUUUAGUUAAAUCUGCACACAUAGGUGGGGCCUGGCAUACCCUAAGAAUCGGCCUAGCCGGUCAGCCCAUUAGUAAAAAAAAAAGCACCGCAGUCAGCAGUCCCCACGUUGGUCUUCCUCGAGUCGCGACUCGCGAAGCUCCCAUCCUCCGAGUCCAAGAUGGUGGACUGUGUCGAGCGCGGGGCGGGCGAUUAGUUGCCCGGCCGCCGGCGGGGGAUGGCCGGACGGCCAGAUCGCCGACUCCUCUAGUCCUCCCUCCAGCCUCUGCGCUUCUUUCACAGUGGAGCUAGCGGCGAGGCGCCCGACCGACACCCUUCUUCCCAAAUCCCGGCAGCCCUACCUCGAUUUGGCCUCCUCCGAUCAUUUGAUAAUCAAUUUGAUGAAAUUAAUAUGGAGUUGCUUUCUUGUAUGGUUGCCUUCAAUCCUGCUAAUUCAUUUGCUUCAUUUGAUGCACAAAAGAUACAUAGACUUGCUAUAUUUUUAUCCACAAGACAUCACAAGCACGGAUUUGCUAAAACUUGAAUUCCAGCUCGAUAUUAUAUUGAUGAUGUGAGAUAGGAUGAUAGUUUCAAAGGCCUACAAGAUCUUGUUAACUGAGACUCAGUUAAGCUUGUUGAAACAAACAGGCAUAAUAUUUAUGACUUGGUUUACUUGCUUCUCAAAUUGGUAUUGGUUCUUCUUGUGGCGACAGCUAGUGUUGAAAGGGAUUUUUGUGCAAUGACUUUGAUCAAGAGUAAGCUAAGAAAUAAGAUGGGUGAUAGUCUUUUGGAUGAUUGUCUUAUCACAUUCAUUGAGAAAGAUAUUUUCUUUGAAGUGGAUGAAGAAGAUAUAAUUAAGACUUCAUAUCCAUUAGAAAUCGUAGGCUGGAGAAGAAGUAAUAUUUUAAUUUUCUUUGAACGUUAGGUCUGUAAGCUUCUUUUAAACUAUCUACAUUAUAAUUUAUGGACCUUUUAAUUUAACCGUUGAAUUCAUGAUAUUAUGAGAUUUUUUUAUCUAUGUUAUUAUUGUUUACCGAUUUAUUACCAAAUUAUUAGUUUGAUCUUACAAUAUUGUAUUUUGGAUGAUUGGCUCGGCAUACUCUAAGUUUAAAUCCUAGCUCCGCCACUGUUUGCACAUUAAUGUGGCUUAUAUGUGUGGAGUCACUUAACCUAUGCACUUGGACCUCCACUCCCUUAGGUUUUAUGAACCUAAUUUGACAGCCUGCUCGUCUUUUAUUUUCUACCAAUCAGCUAGGAACGAACAUGGUGAUGUUUGCAUCUCUGCCAUCAAUGGCUUACAUGUCAUUAUGUAUCACAUUAGCAAGUCUUGUUUUGUUAUUGGCUGGGAUGACGGGGACUCUAGCUGGAAUUGAAUCAAAGUGGUAGAUCACAGGGUAUUCAUUGCCAUGUAUUUCUGCAGUUGCAUGGACUUGCAUCAAACGGACCUUCCUACUUAUGUGAUUGUCCUAUAUGAUCUCCUUUGAUUUCAUUUGCACACUGUAAUCACAUUAGCUAGAACACUCGCUUUUUGCUUCAAAUUUGAAAUUCAUAUCAUGAUGGACUAGAACGCUGAAUUUCUUGAUUGCUGAGUUACUAAUCACAUUGUGGCGCUGCCAAAGAAGCUGGACUCUUCAUUGUUGUUGCCUUGUGGGCUGCCGUGUGCAAAGAACAAGAGCGCACGGUAUUAUAAUAGCAGAGCAGAACACAGACAAGCGACAAGGAGCGGAGCAGAGCAGAGCACAGCCAGGCACAAGCAGUAGAGUAGAGCAGAGCAACCGGGAGAGGAGAGGGCACAUAUGCAGAGUAGAGCAGAGCCAAGCGCAAGCAUUCAUGCACUCAAGCAUGCAGCAGAGGUGUAGCAAGGCAAGCACAAGCAGCAGAGCAGAGGGAAGGGAAGGCUGGGAGAUGAAUAGGCGAAUAGUUACCUGGACAGAGCAGAGGGAAUGGAGAUGAUGCAGAUGCUUCCGGAGACUCGAGAUUUGGAGAGGAACAAGGCCACGUUGUGAACAAGGUCUCCUUUCUCUUCUCUAUUUCCCGCGCAAGUACUUGUGCAUAGUGGCUGCCUCAUCCUCCAGGACGUCCACUUCAACCUGAGGCGGGUGCCACAGACAUCCUGGCUAUGCGACGGCUACCCCCAGCACACCCCCGGCGCCUAUGAACCAUGAUCCUAAUACUAUAAAUUGUCAACCUUGUAAUCUUAUUUCAAGCAUGCUCUCUAUGUCAACCUGUAAGGUUAACUUCGUUUUUCCUUUUCUGGGUAGGGGAGUGGAUAUUGCUGUUAUUUAUAUUAUGUUGAUAUUGGUUUCCACAUGUCAUUCACCCCAAAUGUGUUGCAAGGUUGAACCUAUCAUCGGAGGAAUUUUUUUCCCUUUACCUUUAUAUCACUACGCUCUGGUUAUGUAUGAAACACUUGUCUUCUUAAAAACCUUAAUUUAGAAACAAAUUUGAAACACUAUCUUCAUUUACAUCCUGUAUGUGUUUUCUACCUUUUGUCCUAUAUGAUCUGCUUUGAUUUGAUUUGUGCAUAGUUUUUUCAAUUCAGACCUGGUGAUUUCUGAGGUUCAUGUUGUGCUGAUAAGCAGCCUACUAUUCAGUAACACUUUCAUGUGGCAUGUUCAUGUUAGCUAGCUAGAAACACUGCUUUUAGCUUCAAAAUUCAAAUUCAUGACAUGAUGGACAUUGACAAUGAAUUUCUUGAUUGCCGAGCUAUGUACACUGUAAUUCAGACCUGGUGCUUUUAGUUUUUUUCUUGAUUGCCGAGCUAGAAACACUGUGCUUUUAGUUUUUUCAAUUCAGACCUGGUGAUUUCGGUUUUUUCAAUUCAGACCUGGUGAUUUCUGAGGUUCACGUGUCACACCGAUUUUAAGAACAAAAUCGAGUGCAUUAAAUAUACAUGUACGCUAGGAUCAGGUUACACACAUGUACGACAUAAGCGAAUAUCAAAGACAAUGCCAUAACGAAAUAAAGAGAGUAUUAAUCAUUAUUACAUGACCGAAAGUCUCAAAUAAACCACAAAAUCUAUUUAUUACAUAGCGGAACUUCUAAGAUAGCAACGUCUCCACAGGCAGCUGACUGAAGAACUGUAUGCCUAGAACUCUUCAAAAUCGUGCAGGUACUCCUCCAGAUUAGCUUGGUAUGAACAACGGUUUUGCAAGGGUGAGUACACUUAUGGUUGGUACUUAAUAAGUCGUGGGAAACAAUGUAGUGUAAGGCAAAUCAAGGUAUGGCUAAGGCUUAAACAGCAUCAGCUUUUAAUUUAGUUGGUCAAAUUUUAUUAGCAAUUAAUUAGACGUAAAUUUAUACCACCCGAAAUUAAACAAGAACAUGAAUAAAAUAAUAACAUAACCAUAAAUGAAAUGACAACAAUUUAAAUCCAUCUUUUCAUAGCAUUAUCAUGUGAGGGUCCAGUCCGUUCUUAACCGUGAGCACCGCUGAUCGAUCAGUUUUACACUCUGCAGAGGUUGUACAUCUUUACCCACAAGUCGCGUAAAAGUUCAAAAGAAUUUUGGACCCAACCAUGCGGUAUUUGCAAGGCACCAUACCACACUUCCAAGGUGUGAUUGCAUAUGAACGCUACGAGGCCUUUACAAAGAUUCAUUAGUAAGUGGUAACCCGCUAAGGUUUCGGUAUUUGGCGUGCACAACCUAUCACAGGCCGCUAAUGCAACGACUCAGUCCCCCCUCUUGCCUCAUCACGAGUAAGAUUACCCCAGACUAAGGUUUCUAAUUAUUCAGCCAAGAUCAGAACCAUUUAGUCUUGUGGUAGCACUGUUUUCCUGGGUGGUUCUCCAUGUUCCGAUUAAACAUAAUGGUCUUGUAUUAAUGGAAGGUAUAACAUAAAUAAUACCAAAUUAAUAAUAAUUCAGAUUAAAUCACCAUAACCAUAUUUGAGCACUAAGCAUGAGCUACCCAACAUAAAUUUAACCCGGUUGGUCAAGGCAAGGUAGAUAAAGUCUAGGAAAUUCUUAAUUGGGACCCAUCAAGUUUAAAUUAUACUUUGCAUGGUAUGUUGCAUAGAACAUGAAAGUAAAUGUGAAUAGGACUGAAAAGGAGUGAUUAGGGACACGACUUGCCUUUUUAACCUUGUUCUUGCUGUUCGUACUCUUCGAAAACUUUGAUCUUCAAAUCCCUUGAACUGCUGACCGUCUACACGCGUCACACGACCACAUACAAGCAAACAAAUAUAAUACAUAAGAAAACAGUACACCAAUCAUAAUUAAAUAGAAGAAACAAAUUUGAAAAGCUAUUCUACGCAUUAAAACGAAAACACGGAUACAAGGAACGUUAAAAACGGAGCUACAGUGCAAAAACUACGCUUAAAACAAGAUGCAGGGGUAUAACUACGAGAAACCAAACUUCCAGGGAUUUAAUUUUAAAUAAUUUUGAACUGCAGAAGGGGCAGCAGGGCAAAACGUAGAAAAUGCAGGGGCUUAAGCGCAAAAGCAUGGCUGCUGACUCAGCUGACUUGAUGUGGAUCGUCGGAUGGCGAUCCGGCGGCCGGCAGCUGCUGCGCUGACGUCAGCGACGGCGAGCGCCGGCGAAAAACGGCAGUUCGCCGGAAUCGCCCGGGAACGCGCGACUGGGUGCAGAUUUGAGCGAGGAUUAGACUAGCAGAUAGAAACGAGCGCAGUGAACUCAUUUGGGAUGCCUACGGCGAGGACUUGGCGACGGCAUCGGCUCCGGCGAGAACUUGCGGCAGGGAAACCAAAUAAAAUAAAAUAACACGGUUCAGAGAAGCGGCGCUGGAGGAACGCGAGCGAUUUUGCGUGCGAGCGGAAGAAAACACUGCGAGGAAGAUGACUGCGGGCCCUGCUUGUCUGCGGCAGGAGGAGAGCUGCGUGCGAGAAGAACCUGGCCACGAUCUGGGCCGUUGCCUUCGAUCUGGGCCGAGGCAAGCUAGCUGGCCCGCUGCUGCGGAAAGGUGCUGGGCCACGGGCGGAGCACAGCGUCGGGCCAGAAAGGAGAUGGCUGCUGCGAGGAAACAAAAGAAAAUGAACUGGGCUGCGACAGAGGAAAACUGGGCGUCGGCCAGAAAGAAGCUGCGUGCAGCUUGCUCUUGUUUCCGAACUAGAAACAGGAACUGACGGAAAGACAGAAAUCAAUUGGAGACUGAAACUGACGCCCCAGACUCUGAACUUCGAAAAAACAGGACAACCAGCCAACUGACAGAAAAAAAAAAGCUUAACAACCCAAAAGCAGUACACAACCACGAAACCAGGCCACAAGACUGAAAAAGCUUGAUAGGAACAUCUGGCGACUGAACCAAAAAACUACAGAACUGCAACUGAAGAACUAGAGAACAGAUAAAUAACUGAUUGAACUCUGAAACUGAAACACCAAAGAGCAGGAAGCUGACUGACGGAAAAUGCAAAACAGCAACCCAAGGUGAAACACAAAUUCUUCUUCAAGCAUUCAAACAAAGAGAUAUGCAACAGCAUGAAUGCUCAAUAAAAUCCUAUAUUUCAUUAAUUAAUUAGAAAAAAUGCUCAAAUGCCUAGAAAAAUGCAAAAGUGACCUUAUAUGCCUUAAACAAGCAAAUUCGUUUCUAGCGAUUUUUGGUAAAAUGCAAAAUUAGAGAUUUUGGGUGUUACAUCAUGUUGUGCUGAUAAGCAGCCUACUAUUCAGUAACACUUUCAUGUGGCAUGUUCAUGUUAGCUAGCUAGAAACACUGUGCUUUUAGCUUCAAAAUUAAAUUCAUGACAUGAUGGACAUUGACAAUGAAUUUCUUGAUUGCCGAGCUAUGUACACUGUAAUCACAUUGUGGGGCUGAUAAAAUAAGCAGCGUUGAGACACAUAACAAUUGAAUCUUAAGCUUCACACAGAAUCUGGACCAGUCAUCCUCAUUCCUGUCAUGCUGGAAAUGUCUUUGAUACAUUUCAAUCACAGGCAAUUGAAUUCGUACUGGGGAGGAUGGCAAUGGUGCAUGAAGAGAGAUCAAUGUGGCAAAUCUCACAUUGUUCAUUACCAGGUAUCUCCGAUUUCUGGUUAUUUUAAAUUUACCUUGACAUGUGACUUAUUGAGGUAUUGUAUUUCAUCUAAUGGUAGUUCUGAAUUUAUGGUAACCUUGGAUGGGGUUUGUCACUUUAUACACGCACGGACUUACAAAGGACAGCAAAUGAGUAUAUUUAGAGGGCUCCUGUCCAACCAUGGACUAUACUUAUGUACCCUUUUUUGACAUGGUAAUUUGAGGUUAAUGGAAAAGUAGCGAUAGUCGCCUCCAGCGAAGCUACCUUCUUCGAAAGCUCCGAGGCUGCUUUCUCGCUCUUAGCAAGCCGAUCCCUCGUAAUCAUCGAAGAGUAAGAGACCUACAGAUUUUAAAAACCAAGUUACCAAAAAUAACGAAGUAAAAGACAACACUCGCAAGACAAACCACCAAACUAUCUCAUAAUUGUACCUUCUUUACGAGGUUCGCCUCCAAGUUAAAGAGCUCUUCCAAGAUCAUUGACUUCACAGCUUGCUGAAAAUCUAUGCGCCAAAGGAUAUAGUCGUAAGCAUAAAAUAAAAAUUGGUAAAAACCAAGGACAGCAAAGCCAUCUACAAGCUGUUCUUACCCUCAUACUUUCGCACCUCAACGGCGAUCGGAACAACCUUCUCUCUAGCCUCGCCCUUAGACGCCACCACAAUCUUCCCGCCACACAAAUCCACAACCCCUCCUUUACCUUUGCCCUCUCCCGAAGUCGUCGUGCCCGCCUUCUCCACCCUUUUUGAACCGCCAACAUCUGCAUAGCGCUCGCAACCUUCACCUUCAGCCCCCCAGACCAAAGACAGGUUGUGAGGAUUAUAAACCCUACCUUCGGCGCAUGUAGCUAGAAUCUCCGUGCGCCCGCUCAAGCCCAGACACUCAUUCAGUCCCUGAAGCCCCGCCGGCAACCUCUCACCUACAUCAUAACAUUCAACUUUUAGCCUCACAUGAUCCUCACAACUAACCUUACCAACGCCCCCCAUAGUUUCUUCCAAGUCCUUCAAAAAUUUCGUUGAGGCCUCACCACAAUCAAAGAACCGUAGCAUCGAUAGAAACACCUCUACAUGCUUACCAGAUCUCACAGCUUCGGCACACCCACCCUUUGGAUCAGAUGAGAACGCAUCCACAAGCUUCGCCUUUUCGGUGGCAAACCCCCUCUCAAGUUUCCCAACAUCAGUCAAGAGAUGUUGCGCGCUCUUAAACUUCGAGCUUAUGGAAGGCACCGUGAUCUUGGUACCAGCUGCCGAAGACGCGUCAACCUUGGCACCCGUAACAGUAACAGGAGCAAAUCGAGGUUUCUUGGCGCCUCUUUUGAUCCGUGCGGCGGGCCCGGUGGAUGAAGGUGCAAGAGCUGGAACCUCCUUAGGAGGGCGCAUAGAGACAGGAACAACAUAUGCCGGAUUGCUCAAGUCGCCAGACGAAGCUGUCGACCACGAUGGCAACAUAGCAGACGAAGCCCCCGCGGUCAUUUCCUUCCUUUUUUGCGCCUCCAAAUUCAAGGUCUUUUGCUUCGCCUUAGCGGUCACUUGCAAUUCAAUAGUGAGCUUCACCAUGGGUACGAAGUCAAAUUUUGCCUUUUUCCUCUGCUCAAGACUAGCACCGCGACGGCGCCUCUUGCCCGUAACUUUGGGGUGAGGCAGAACCACAAUAUCAUACAAGUCAAAAAUCUAAGAUGAUGACAUUCCAUUUGUAUCCAUGAUUUAUAUUGUGUUCCUUGAAUAUCCAUUAAAGUCUACUUGAAUUGAUUUGCAAUUAUGUGAAUUGUAUGUGAAACUCUUUCCUUGUAUGGUUAUUCUAAAGUUGUCCCUAGUCGGAGUUCAUGUGAGGACACAUGAAUAUUAGACUAGCACAUGUAUUAGUUGAUGACUAUGUUUCACAAGUCAUGGACAUGAAGAUGUGGAACUAAUAAUGUGGGCACAUGUGGAGACACGUGCUAGGACUGACCCAACACGAGAAGUAGUUCUCUCUUUAUACAACAUAUACGCUUUGUCCUUAGACCUGAGAUUGUCGCAUGUACUCAAGAUGUGGAUCGACUUACUUAGGGGCUAUCAAAUUCUACGCCGUAACAGGGUAGUUAUAAAGGUAGCUUUCGGGUUUGUCAAGAAGCAUGCUAUGAGACAUGGUCAAUCAAGAUGGGAUUUGCCCCUCUCUGAUUGAGAGUGAUAUCUCUGGGCCCCUCGAGUGAUCGGAUCCGAAAAUGCAUGGCCAUGCUACAUACGAUUAAGAGUUAGCCUACAAAAGGAUUCCGAAUCAUAGGAUCGAGAAAGAGCGGUCGGCUUGAAGCUAGACCAAAUAUCGUGAGGCAAAGGGAAUAGCAUGUAUAUAAUGUUGUGAUGGUUCGUCUGAUAUGAUCUUCGUGUGCGUAUAGGAGUUGGCACGUCUUGCUAGAGGUCGCUACCGACUAUUGGGCCGAGUAGGAGUACUCAGGCCAUGUCUAUACGUAUCCGAACCCAUAGGGUCACACACUUAAGGGGCUGGAAGCCCAAUUCGGAUGUGAUCCGAAUUGGAUUAGGUUUAGAAGUACUAAUGGGCCUUGGACCUAGAGGCCCGUUAGGAACCUCUAUAAAUAGAGGGGUGGGGGCGCCCUAGGGUUUACACCUUUUUGGUGAAACACAUCUGCCGCGCCUCCCACGCCUUCGCCUGUUGCAACUCGCGGACCUAGCAGUCCGGCUUGCGACGCUUCCUCCCUGCACGUGUGGAUACCUUGGAAGUGUUGCUCCUGCAGCACUUGGACGAGCCGCCAACGAGCCACGACGAGCCACGAUGAGCCGACGAUGAGCCGCGGCACGAGGGGGAUCUUGCUGCACGUGGACGAGCUGCUGAGGAGCUGCUGGACGUCGAUGUGUUCGACUACGUACGACUACGCUGAUCGACUUCGCUGCAUCAACGCGAAUCUACAUCUUCCGCAUCAUUGCAUCGAGUGGUAAUCCCGUGAUCCUGAUACGGCAGUUUUCCUAGUUUACGCGGUAGAAAAUUUUGUUUUGUGCUAGUGUAGCCUAACUCAUAUCCCAACAACGUGUGCUAUAGGUCACGCAAGCCUGAAAAUGGCCACACCGGACACCGGGUACGAAAACAUGGGGGAUGGACCGAACAUUUGAAAAUGGCCUCCAUAUGUGUUUUCGGCUAUGAAAAUGUGUGUUAUAGGUCACAGAAGCUUGAAAACGGCCGCACCAGCCACUAGGGACGAAAACGUGGGGGAUGGACCAAAGACAUAAAAAAUAGCCUCCAGACGCGUGUUCGGCCAUGAAAACGUGUGGUAUAGGUCCUGGAAGGCCAAAAACAGCUACACCGGCCACCUGGGACGAAAAAGUUUGUGUAAGACCGAACACUUGAAAAUAGCCUCUGGACGCGUGUUCGGCUAUGAAAAGGUGUGUUAUAGGUCACACGAGCCCCAAAACAACCACAGCGAACACCAGCUACAAAAACAUGGGGGAUGGAUCGAAUAAUUGAAAAUGGCCUCCAGACGUUUGUUCGGCCAUGAAAUCGUGCGUUAUAGGUCGCGGGAGCCCGAAAACGGCCACACCGGCCACCGGGAAUGAAAAUGUGGGGGAUGGACCGAACAAUUAAAAAUGGCCUCCGGAUGUGUGUUCGGCCAUGAAAACGUAUGUUAUAGGUCACGGGAGCAUGAAAACGGCCGCACUGGCCACUGGGGACGAAACGUGGGGGAUGGACCGAAGACGUGAAAAUAGCCUCCAGACGCAUGUUCGGCCAUGAAAAUGUGUGCUAUAGGUCAUGCAAGGCCAAAAACAGCUGCACCAGCAACCGGGGACGAAACCAUGGCUGUCAAACCGAACGCUUGAAAAUCGCCUUCGGACGCGUGUUCGGAUAUGAAAACAUGUGUUGUAGGUCACGCGUGCCCGAAAACGUCCACAACGGACACCGGGUACAAAAACGUGGGGGAUGGAUCGAAUAACUGAAAAUGACCUCCGAACGCGUGUUCGGCCAUGAAAACGUGUGUUAUAGGUUGCGGGAGCCCAAAAAUGGCCACACCGGCCACCGAGGAUCAAAACGUGGGGGAUUGACCGAACAAUUAAAAAUGGCCUCCGAUUGUAUGUUCGGCCAUGAAAACGUGUGUUAUAGGUCAUGGGGGCCCAAAAAUGGCCGCACCAGCCACCAAGGACGAAAAUAUGGGAGAUGGACCAAAGACAUGAAAAUGGCCUCCAGAUGCAUGUUUGGACAAAAGUGUGUGCUAUAUGUCGUGCAAGGCCAAAAACAGCUACACCAGCCACCGGGACAAAAACGUGGGUGUUUGACUAAACAAGUGAAAAUGGCCUCCGGAAGCAUGUACGGCUAUGAAAAUGUGUGCUAUAGGUAAUGGAAGGCUAACAAAAGCUACACCGGCCACCGGGGACAAAAUCAUGGGUGUCAGACUGAACACUUCAAAAUGGCCUCCGGACGCGUGUCCGGCUAUCAAAACGUGUGUUAUAGGUCAUGCGAGCCCGAAAACAACCACACUGAACACCGGGUACAGAAACAUGGGGGAUGGACUGAAUAACUGAAAAUGGCCUCUAGACGCGUGUUCGGUCAUGAAAACAUGUGUUGUAGGAUGCGGGAGCCCGAAAACGGCCACACCGGCCACCAGGGCAUGGACCAAACAAUUGAAAAUGGCCUCCGGAUGUGUGUUCGGCCAUGAAAACGUGUGUUAUAGGUCACGGGAGCCCAAAAAUAGCCGCACCGACCACUGGGGAUGAAAUCGUGGGGGAUGGACCGAAGAUGUGAAAAUGGCCUCCAGAUGCGUGUUCGGCCAUGAAAACGUGCGCUAUAAGUCAUGUAAGGCUAAAAAUUGCUACACCGGGACUAAAGCAUCCCCCAUGAGUUACAAUAAAAGGAUUGUAUCCUCUACUCAGUCGGAUGUACUGUGUAGGUGAGAUGGUAAGGAAGCUAUGCGCGAGGUUUGAGGUUGUGGGUUGAAAUCCUACGCACCGCGCGCACACGCGCAUAUUUUGUGUGAAAAAUCAUGUGACUUGUGAUCGGCCAAGGAGAAGUGGGUGCAGCUGUGGCUUAAGUGGCUGAGGCACGCUGCCAUAGACAUCUCCGAUUUGCUCGAAGACUACCAAGACACUAGCAAUAACAAGAACUACUGCUCUUCCUAGCAGACUCUUUACAACCACUUUAAAGCUGUGCAUUUCUCAAUGUAAUUUCGUAGAAGGCAAUCGAUCCAACCAAGCGACUAAAUCAUUUGUUCUUGCCAAUGAUGUACAUCAGGUUUUCUAUAUGAAGGACAUGUCUAGCAAACCUAAGAUUUUAGAAGAAAAAGAAAAAUUAUGGGAGUCAAUAAUAAAUCAGGCCAAUCAGGAGAUUAUAGUAAGCUCGAUGGUAUGCCUCCAUUCGAUGUCGAAGUUGGCCCAAGCAUCAUGUUAGCCAAAGAUCAAAUGUUCGUGCAUUGCUACGGUAAAGAUCAAUUGUGUCUUUUAAACCCAUGGAAUUUUUUAUCUAUGUUUUUAUUACACUUAAUGGAUGUCUACACAUUUGCUAGAAAAUCAAAAUAAUUUUGACUUAAUUAUUUCUUUCAACUCAAAUACUCAUUAAAUUUCUACCUUUUUAUUUAAGCAAGAGAGUUGCUCAAAAAAUGGAUACGUAACCAUGUUGUAUCAUACAAAGCAACCACAUUUCACAUAUAGUCUGGCUUAGCAAACACCAUUGUUGUCUUAACAUAGUGUUCAUGAGUUAGUAGACAUGGAUCUAUUUCUAAUUGCAAGUAGUGCAGCGUACAACCAGCCUGCACCGCCGCAGCUCAAUAUGCGAUAAUUUUUUAUCUUCCCAUGUAAUUUUUCUACUCUAGUACAUAUUGAACUCCACAUAAAUGUCAUGUUCUUUCACGCCACAGACGGUUUCUAAAGUUUGGAACUAAAUAGAUAGCCAAAAAUUUUAAAAAAAUAUUUAUAUGGAUACAUGUAUGUUCUUUGCAAACUAACAAUAUUGUUUACAAUAUCAAAAGGAAUAUGGCUAUGAUCAUUGCCGCAUAUGGCAGGUGAUGGUAGAUGCCGUAUGGGGUUUCUUUAACUUAAUUGUAUAAUAAGCUGAAAUACAUUUUCUAUUUGCAAAUGAAUCAUAGCUGAAAGUGGUGGGAUUGUAGAACCGCCGGCCAUCGUGUCCUUGUAGGACCGCUGCACGAGCCUGUGAGCCACCAGCCACCAUGCGCCCAAGGGCCAUCACCACGCCAUAAGAGGAUGCUGUCUACCCGGUUUCGCGCGCCUGUGCUAGCUGCCUGAACCUGGGCCGCCGCCGGUCGCCUGCCCAGCCGCGCGUUGCGCCAGGGUUUUGCUGGUGACGACCAUGGCCUUCGCGAUCAAAUUAAAAAGUUAUCAACUGCAAAGUAUUAGGUCUCGUUGAGCUCUACAAUUUUGAUAUAAAGUUUCUAUUCAUCCGAGAUCAAAUAAAAAAUUUGAUACUCAAAGCAUAAAUCCAUUAAUCUAGUCUUGCUAAUCCUUACCACCAAAUAAAAAACUAGCAUGUGUUGUGUGUUUGUGACCCUAAACGAUCACAAAUGAAUAACUUAUGGGCCUUGCUAGCGCCCGGAUGUCCAGGCCGGGGCACUAGCAUCAGACCCACGAGUAGCCGUCCGAUCAGGUUCGACACCACUUCAGGAUCUGGCUUAAAAAGAAGUCCCACCGAAACAUUGUUCCAUGUUGCAUGAAGCAACCCACUACCGUCGCCAGGUCUAGAGCAAGCACCACCUUCAAAUGUGCUGCUCACCCUAGCUAAAUAGGGGCAUUAAAAUAUUUCUCGCAUAUCCUUCUCAAAUUAAACAAAAUCGCAACAUCUGAAAAUUUUUACAGAAAACCAUGAAACAUAUCGAUUAGAUAGAUGUAACAAGAUGGAAUAUGGUAUAUGCAACAUAUAGGUUCCGAAAAGCAGAUGAAAUAUUAUGUAAUGAUUCUUGAAACAGUCAAGAAAAAUAGAUGUAACAUCUAAAAUUAAGAAAAGAAGCUUUAUGCAAAUUGCAAAAAGCUGAAACAAGUGGUUGAAACAUUUCAAAUCACCAAAUGCCACAUUUGAAAUGACCAGAUGAAACAUCACGAAAUCAAUUGCAACAGUUGAAGAUGAAAACAUUCAAAUGCCUUGCCUUUCUCCAAAUUUGACCCUCCAAGCAUGAGUCCAGCCAUUUGCACAUUAGACCCUUGGGAGGAGCUCACCGGAGAACAACAAGACCGUGUUAUCCAACAAUUUUCAGAUCAAAUUGCAACAUAAAGAACAAAGCAUUGCAACAUCUGGCAUCACGAGCUACAACAGCAACCAGUUAGGAUCAGGAGAAAGAGGGCAAACACAAGCCUAACAAUGAGUUAUAUCCGGUUUAAACAAGGAUAAAAAUGAGUGUAUUUUACACUCAUCAUGUUGUCUUUUCGCAGCUGUACCGCCUUUAGCGUGUUGUAUUGUUCCUAACACCAAGUCUCCGAGGCCCGAAAAAAUAAGGAAAGUGGUAGCAGCUCAGAAAUCGACUAAGUUUCUUUCCCCCUUUGGCUUUCCUACUAGGAUUCGGAAUCCUCUUUCGUAUGACAAUCUUAAUGAUCUCCCAUAGUCCAAAACUCACAAAAACAUCAAAAAUCCACCGAGAAUAAAUUAAGUAAAAAAACAUGCACACACAGAUAAUAAUAGUAAUCAUGUUUCAUUAUGAUUGCUAAGGUCAGACACAAUACAUAAACAUAUUAGACUGAGUGACCCACCUCACCUCAGAGUAUGCACCAUGUCUGAGUGACCCACCUCACCUUGCCAGGACACUGGUCCUGCCCUCGUGGUUCACGCGCCCUCGUGGUUCAGCAGUGGUCAGUACACAAAUCUAGCUGCCAGUCGGAUCCAAGGGCAGGCAUUUGCAUUGUGGUUGUGUUUGAACAUGGAGAUGUCAUUAUUAUUGUCAGGCACCAUACAUCCUCUCUCAGUUUCACUCCGCCUCACACACGGAUAGCACACCAGGGACCCGACACCAUGCAUGCCGAUUUCAUAUUAUUAAUAUUUAAUUUUUUUAAUGGUUGUUGAAACUAUAUUGUUGAUAUUUUUAUACAUAAUUUACGACCUAAUUUGGAUAUAUUUUUGAAAUAUUCCGAAAUCUUAAAUUCACACGUCUAGAGAUACAGUUAGUCCAAUCUGAUGUUUCCGAUUAUAAAAAUGAACAUAAAGAGAUAGGAAGCGAGAGACGUGAGGGGGAAAGUUAAAUUAGGGCCUAAGGGGUGAAGUUAGGGUUCCAGGUGAGCUGUCAUCACUACGUGUUUUUAAUCGAAAUUGGAAUGUCAGCAAUCGUCAGAUCUUGAGCCAACAGUUGAGACUGCCUCGGAAUGGUAAUUAGGUCUGCGCGAGCUUGCAUUGUGGCCUUCCUUGAAACCUUGGACAUAGGUGUUAUAUUAUUAUGUUCUUGCCAGCACACAGCAGUGAAGGACGACACAGUUGAGAUGUGCAUCACAUUUUCUAUAUGAAGGAUAUGUUUAGCAAACCUAAGAUUUUAGAAUAAAAAGAAAAAUCAUGGGAGCCAAAGCGCCACAUAGUUCUUCCAGGUAAAAAAAAAUCAUCCACUGGACCAGCACAUAGUAACGAUCCAAAAAGUCCAUAUUAAGAUUUUUUGAUAGCAGAAAAAACAUAAAAUGUCUAAUAUUUGUAGUAUUAAAAGGAAAAAUAAUAUAUUCACGUGACCUUUUUCCCGUAGCAAGGCACCGGUACGUGGUCAGACUUAAUGCACGAUGCCUAAGCAUCCAUUGGGCCUACCCUCGUGUGGAUCACGCGCAACAGGACACGGCUCACAAGCUAUGAUGUGCAGCAGUCGCUCAGAUGGCUGAAAGGUACCCUUAAUUUGAAUGGUACCAUAUAUAUAUAUAUAUAUAUAUAUAUAGUAAACAAGACAAACCACCGUUGAUACUACUUUGCACUACUUGAUACAUAUAUCUCCACCAAAAGCGAGGCACGUGGGGAGGAGAGAUAUGUGGUUGAUGGUGCGGGCACGUGGCGAGUGCACCGUACGAAAAUUUUGCUCGUGUCGGACGACUGAUGUGAAGCAUUACCCAAUCUUAAUUAUCUCCCAUAAUCCAAAACUCACAAAAACAUCAAAAAUCCGCCGAGAAUAAAUUAAGUAAACCAUGCACACACAGAUAAUAAAAUUGCUAAUAAGGCCAGAGACAAUACAUAAACAUAUUAGACUGUUCAUGACACAUAUCACGGUGGAUAGUGUCUGUGUCCUUAUUACAAGCAAUGAGAGAUGCUUGUCACCACACACACGCGCACAGAUGCACAACAUACAUAUAGUUGAGACCAACAGAUGGAUCAACUAGAGGUCACCCCAUAUGGUGAACAAUUUAUUGGAGAUAAACAUUAACAUAACUUGGCCAUAGCUUGAAGCAUAGCAACAUAUGCCUAUGAACGGCGUUCAUGCUAUCAUUUUAGGCUUGUCCGCUUCUUCCAUCUUAGCAAGCACUUCCAUUUCUACCAUCUUAGAAGCAACUGUCAAAUUGAGAUAUGGAAAUCCCAUUAGCGCAUGAGUUAAUUUUGCAGUGAAAAUAGAGUACAAGAUAUCUUCAUGAUGUAAGUAACAUGCCUGAAGUUGUGAGAUGGGAAGUGAAGUCAACAAAUUACAUUAACGGAAAUGCAUGGAAGGCCACACAUACGUAUUAGUCCAUGAUAUGCUACAAAGCUUGUAUGUACAUAUAGCAAAUUAAAUGCAUUAAUUGAAUAGAGUGAGUUUAGUGAAUUUACCAGAAUCGUCCAGAAAACAUGGGAAACAGCAAGUGUUCUUGCAGACUGCGUCGGUGCCACCCACAGCAAUACAACCAAAACAACAUGCUUUUGCCCGAGCGGCUGCGCAGCAGCCGCACUCUGCCGCGGUGGCCGAGUUAGCAUUGAGGCUCAAGAUGACCAGGCACAUGAUCACCAUCAAAGCGGUGGUAGUCCUCUUUCCCUCCAUUGCCUCCUCUUGCUGCUACCUUCCUUGGUUACCUAGCUAAGUUUAUUGGUUUUGUGUUGAGAGGUGAUUCUUGCAUUGAAUGGACGUUGCCGCGGCUGCAAUUUAUAGGCAGCUGCGCUAUGUGAUGAUAUGGACAAGGUGCAAAUGGGUGGUCCUGAUAUGGAUAAGGUGCAUGCGAAUGGCUGUCUACUUGUAUAGUGGCGCUCCAAUGUACAUACGUAUGUAUCUUAUGCAUGUAUACAGUUGAUGGAUGUACAUGUUUGUUGCACAAAUUAUUCUGAACCAACUCUUCAUAACAGGUCUUUGUUACCAAGUAAUUUUACUUUUGCACGUUUCAGCCGAGAGGCAGAAGAGAAUAUUUUACAGAGAGGGCAGAGAAGGAGGUUGGCGGAGGCGCCGUGGUAGGGUUCCCCGUGUCGCCAAGAUUUUUGCAUUUUAGAUGUGUGUAUUGAUCACUUCGUCGUGCUCGCGGGGCCCAACUCCAGGUUGUACCCCAGCAGACCACGUUCUGUUUCUCUGCCUCCAAUGAGCAUGCAUGCCUCCACAAGGACCACAAGACUUAGUAAAAAAGCUAAACUUUGCAACACGAUGUAUACAGAACGUUUUGAAAUGUACUCUCGUUAGGCAUUCACCUCCUUAACAAUCACUGCGACUGUAAAAGAGGUACAUCGACGCUAGCUAAAUAAACCACUAUAAGAUUUAGCAAGAGAUCAUUUUAUACAAUCCUGUAACGAAACAAUUUGACAAUUAUAGUGUCCAUAUAUUUUGACAAAAAAACGUUUAAAUUAUAUAAGGAGGUGGGCCCGAAAACGGUUGGAUUACAUCGAGAACGUUUUGAAACAGUUGGCGGAGCAGGAUUCUGGCGUGGAGCAUCUACAUUGUCGCGCGCGCGGACUGCCGGAGUAGGCACGCUCGACUUGUCCCAUCGCCAGCUAAAUGAUUUAGUACCGGAUGGUCUCUAGUACCGGUUGGAGCUACCGUCCACCAGGAGCUUUUCUAGUUUGGAACUGGUACUAAUGCUAAUAUUAGUAUCAGGUCAAAAACAAUCGGUACUAAGGCUAGGGAUGACACGUCAUUUUUCUAGUAGUGUGUGCAAUUGGUUUUGUAAUUAGUCUAUAUUUAAUACUUCUAAUUAGUAUCUACACAUUUUAUGUGACAGGGACUGAACUUUAGUCCGUGGAACCAAACACCCCAUAAGUAUGUUUGGUGCUGUAAGGAUUUCGGUUUUAUUUAAUUUCCUAGGCAUUUAAAUUUCUUUCUAAAAUAAGUUAAUGAAUCAUAGGAUCUCAUUGUUGUAUUCAAGCUGGUGCAUUGAUUUUGCCUAUAAAACCCGCCGCGGUCUUCGCAGCCCCCAUCAAACCCUAGCGCCCUUGCCACAAGCUCAGCACCGCUGCCGCCCGAGCUCGAGCACUAGCACCCACCCAUCGCCGUUGCCUUCCCGUCGAUGGGAUCACCGCCCGGAGCUUCGCAUCGUGGUAAGGAAGCCGCCCGUGAAGAUCCCAUGUGCUCCUAUGCCCUCUACCGCGUCCCCGAGUUCCCGGAGUUGCUAGUCUCCCACCGAGCCGACUCUCCGAGCUUCACGUCACUGGUGCCGCUCCGAAGACCUAGUUCGGUUCGCCAUGCACCUCGCUUCAUCCUGAGCUAAACCCCAUAAUGAAUGGUGGUCGGAUGCUCGCCGCCACGGCGCGUCGUCUUUUCUGUCGCCCGUGCAUUGCCUAUCCCCUUCCAGCCGAUUGCAGCUGUCCGAUCGCAAACCGGUGGCCCUGAUCGGAUACCAAGGUCAAUACCGGUCGAACCGAGCCGUGCGCUGCUUUUGCAAGAAGGCCCCUGUUUUUCUCUCUUUUUGCACCUGAGGUCCUACGCAGUUCAAAAGUAAUAAGAUCUAGGUCCUUUUUCUUUUGUUUUAGCCCGUGUUCUUUUAUAAAAUCCCGCCCACUAUUCUGUUUGGUCUUUUGACGCGUUAGACCUUCUUUUUAUAUGUUUAAUUAGGUUUUAGGUCUCGAUUUCUUUAAGUUUAGCCCUUGAAAGUUUAGUUCUCUCGCAGUUAAGCCCCUGAACCUUGUUUAGCUCAUAUCUUAAGCGUUUUAAAUCCGUUUUAACAGAUUCUUGCGCCUAUAAGUUCAUGUUGACGCAUAGAUUAGUUGACUUAUACGAACCUUGCUGAUUCAGCUCCUUGAUUGUGCUUCAGAUCUCGCUAGGGAAGAAUAAUGGAUGGGCUUUGGUUGAGCUUGUAGAUCGACUUGCAGUUGCAGUGAAUGAGCAGAGGAUUGGCAGUGAAUAAGAUCAGGCCGCUGCCCUGCUUGGUAGGGAAAAUAUCUGCUUGCUACCAAGGCCUGUGACGCAUGGACCCCAUUGAGAGUGCAUUAUUGACAAGGACUUAAAGCCAAGGGCUCCACACCUGUCAUUGAUCAGCUGUCUGCUGGGCGCUGCAAGGAGGUAGUGCAUGUUUGACAUAAAGAAGCAGGUGGCCCAGGAUUUACGAAAAAUAAGGAUCUAUUUGAUACCCUUGCUUAUAUUUAGGGGCUAAAAGUUGCUUAUUUGAAGUUGCUUAUUUUUAAUCCUAGCUGUUUGAUUGCAUGGGCUAAAGAGCAUUGAAUGAGGUGGAUAUUGUCAUGUUUGCCUCUAAUGAUUGCUUCCCAUCACAUUUCUCCCCCCUCAUUCAACGAGGGAAGGAGGUGUAAAGUGCACCUUUUAGCCCCGAUAAGUAACCCUUGUGUUGUUUACGGGCUGAACAUAAGUAGCUAAAGUUUAGCUCCAAUAAACAAGAGUGUUUGGUAUUUUUGGGGUUAAAAGGGGCUAAACUUUAGCUGCUUAUGCAUAAGCAAGGCCAUCCAAAUAGGCCCUAAGUAUGUUUGGCGUUGUAAGUAGGUUUUAUUUAAUUUCCUAGGCAUUUAAAUUUCUUUCUAAAAUAAGUUAAUGAAUCAUAGGAGUUCAUUGUUGCAUUCACGCUGGUGCAUUGAUUUUGCCUACAAAACCUGCUGCCGUUUCCGCAGCUCCCAUCAAACCCUAGCACCCCCGCCACGAGCUCCAGCGCCGCUGCCGCCCGAGCUUGAGCACUAGCGCACACCCAUCGCCGUCGCCUUCCUAUCAAUGGGAUCACCGCCCGGAGCCCGUGUCAUGGUAAAGAAGCCGCCCGUGAAGAUCCCGUCCACUCUCGUGCCCUCUACCGCGUCCUCGAGUUCACCGGAGUUGCCAGUCUGCCACCCAGCCGCCUCUCCGAGCUUCAUGUUGUCGUUGCCACUCUAGCUGCCUCUCUGAAGACCUAGAUCGGUUUGCCGUGCACCCCGCUUCAUCCUGAGUUAAACCCCAUCAUGCCACGUCAUAGUAAGGAAGCUGCUCAUGAAGAUCCCGUGCGCUCCCGUGCCCUCUACCGCGUCCCCAAGUUCACUGGAGUUGCUAGUCCACCACCGAGCCGCCUCUCCGAGCUUCACUUCACAGUCGCUGCUCCAGCCACCACUCUGAAGACCUAGAUCAGUUCGCUGUGCACCCCACCUCAUCCUGAGCUAAACCCCAUGACGAACUGUGGUCGGAUGCUCAUUUUCGAGUGAAUUCCGGCGAGAUGGUCGCCCGCCGCCGCCAUCUCCAUCGCCCAUGCACCGCCUGUCCCCUUCCAGCCGAUGUCCGAUUGCAAACCGAUAGCCGAAAUCGGAUGUGGUCACCAGGAUUAAUACCAGUCAAACUAAGCCACGCGUGCCGCUUUUGCAAGAAGGCCCCUAUUUUUCCCUCUUUUUGCACUUGAGGUCCUAUGCAGUUCAAAAGUAAUUAGAUCAAGGUCCUUUUUCUUAUGUUUUAGCCCUAUUCUUUCAUAAAAUCCCGGCUGCCAUCCUGUUUGAAAUAGAUACGGUUAUAGAUAUGCAAACAUCUGCAUAUUUCCAACCGUAUCUCUUUCGAACGGGAGACGCCUAACUAGGUUACGUGACAUACGAACAUCAUACGGAUAGAGAGGGGUAGGAUGUCUCACCUUGCUAUCCUACAAAGUGACGACUCGAGGACAGUAAUGUAGCCUCUCCUUCAAAAAAAGAACAUACUACUAUCAAGUUAAAUUUUUGACAGCACCUCCCCUGCACGUGGAGGUUUCCAUAACCUGCAUCAAAUAAAACGGCACGAUGGCUGACAACCACAUCUACAGCACCAGAAUGGCACGAUGGCCGACUUCCACAUAAAGUUCUUAUACCUUAGAUUGCCAAGUCAAACAUCCUUUUCUAAUUUCUAAAACAAAAGCCCUCCCACCUCUCUAUCUUAUACUUUCCUAUUUACUAAUUGCUUUUGUAAUUUCUAAUUUCUAUUUCAUCCUACCACCUCUGUACCCUUUUCUCAUUUCUAAUUCCAAUUUUCUAACUUGAAGAGCAAAGAUUGAUUACUAGGAGGGGUGAGGGACGCCGGCCUAGAGAGGCGAGGGGACGUCCGGCGGCGGCGGGUGCGUCGGGGGUAGGAUGCCAGGGGCGGCUGCAGGGGCGCCGGGUUGGGGGCGGCCGGGAUCGAGGGCACCAGUAGCGGGGGCACCGGGCCGGGGGCGGCCGGCGGGGCGGGACGCCAGGGCCGGGGCGACGGGCGCCGGUGGCGAGGCCGCCCGGCCGGUGGUGGCCGGCGUGGCGCCUGGGCCGGGGGGGGGGGGCGGGCGGGGUGCGGCGCGGCGCGCCGGGGCAGGGCGCCGAGGCUGGGUGGUGGGGUACGGGGCGGCGGGCGGGGGGUGGGGGGAGGGUCGGCGGCGGGGCGCGGGGGCGGCCAGCGGCGACGGCGGAGGGCGUCGGUGGUGUUUCGGAAGUGAUACGGAGGGGGUAGAGAGAUUCGUUUUCGCGGCUGAGUGUUCGAGUCAGAAGGCCGUGCGGCUUAAGUCAGGUGGUUUGCCGAGUGCGCGCGAUCUGGCACUCGGCAAAGUCAGAAGUUUUGCCGAGUGUCAGAUCGCGGGCACUCGGCAACUGCAGCUUUUGUCGAGUGCCCUGGAUUCGGCACUCGGCAAAGUGAAGUUUUAAUUUUUUUUAAAAAAAUUUAAUCGGAACACGGGCGUGCCAGCGGGCCCGUGACAUACUUUGCCGAGUGUGUAGCAAAAACACUCGGCAAAAUAUUAUCUUUACCGAGUGUUUUCGCUAGGCACUCGGCAAAGUACACUUAUAUUUCAUGUACACUUUUUCAAUAACGUGUUUUACUAACCUUUUUCUGAUAUACUUGGGAAAAACCUUAUCAAAUUCACUCAACAAUGGAUAUAUGGUUUUUCUACUGACAUUAUUCCAUUAUUUCAUUCAGUUAUAGCUCAAAUUGAAUUUAUAUCUAUUAAAAAUCAAUAAUUGCAUUUAAUAAAUAAAAAAUACCAAACGGAUCUGAAAAAUUUCCAAAAUUUGACAUGAACCAAUCUAUGUUGUAUGUUGCCUGUACAAAAAGCUUUGAAGUCAAACCCCAAUUCAAGUGUCACUUGGACUCCAAAUCUUAUCGGAUCCUUUCUAACUUCUAUGAAUCCUUUCGGGAGAUGAGUCGGUUUGUAAGCAUCAUAUGUCAUAAAUUGGGCGAAACCUUCUCAAUUUUUUACCACAGCCUCCACAUAUAAUAUCAUGACACCUUGACAAAUCUUGUGAUUUUCAGACUUCGUUUGCUUUUUUUAGAAUUUAACAACCAUUCAACCACAUGUUCGUGAUCGUGUUUUCUAAAAAAAUGUUCAAAAUUUCUUUUCAUUUCCUGGUUGAGACCUCAAUCCGGAUUGAAUAAUAUGAAUAUGAUUUUUUCACUGAUUUUAAUCCAUUAUUUAAAUCACUUGCAGUUAAAUUUGACUUAAAUAAACAAAUUCCUAUUAAUGCUAUCAAUUCAUUAAAAAUAGCAAACAGAGAAAAAAUAGACCAACUUUUAAGAUGGAUUACCAAAUGUCAUAUGUGGGGAGUAGAAAAAGUGUGGAGAGCAGAGGUGGAAAAAAAAGUUUUGCCUUUGCCAAGUGCCUACACAAACACUCAACAAACUUUGCGGAGUGCCUAUUGAAAACACUCAGCGAACUUCUGAGUUUGCCGAGUGUCUGGAGGGAGCACUCGGCAACCUACUUAUUUGCCGAGUGUCCGCGUCGGACACUCAGCAAAGUACUAACGGCUGGCACACUCCCCUAACGGACGGCGCACGUGCAAGCCAUGUGCUGGAGAUUUAUCGAGUGUCAAAUCGUUGCCGAGUGUCGUGUGGAUGUUUGCCGAGUGUCUUAUUUGUGACACUCGGCAAAGCUAUUGUUUGCCGAGUGUAUUAUUUAUGCCGAGUGUCUUCCAGUAUACACUCGGCAAAUGAUGUCUUUGCCGAGUGCUCGACAUAAAGCACUCGGCAAAAAUUUUACACUCGGCAACAUUCCUGUUUCCGGUAGUGAGUGACCCGGGACUAAAGACCCCCGUUGUCUCUGAUUGCUUUAUUCCGGAUGGAUUUUCAGGAGAUUUGCUCCCUACCAAUAGGGACUAAAGGCAAGUUUUCCACUUAUAGCAAACCAGUUAGCCCAUUGUUGAUGGAACGCAUCACUAGAAACAGCUCGGGAUCCACUUGUCCAAUAAUCGAGAGGGCCUAUAUAUGGACCACGUGUGCGGAUCCCUAAUUAGGAAAAAAGAAUAAUGGAGUAGGACAUCUCCAUGCUCACCUAGUAGCCGCUGCUAGCUUGUGCGUGUGGAACACGAGUGCCGGCCCAGUUGGCGCUAAGACAUCGUACGUGCAUUAAGGCUACGAUCUCUUUCUUCUAACUCAUGCUUGUGCUAUUAUACAUUAUUGCAUGAUCAUCAAGAUAAGAUCGUAUAGUGACUGAGUGAGACAUGUAUGUACUAACAUGCAUUUAAGCCUCGAACUGUGUGUUGUUACGUGAGCUGCCUCCUCACCUCGCCUCUGAAUUAUUGAACCGUUUCCAACAGUGUUGGUCUCAAAUAAAUUUGACACCAAACAGAUUUAUGAAGAAGAGAGAAUAAUACUUGGAAUUGGAAAAAGUUUAUCUCUCUUUACAAUGGAGUAGGGCUCCCUUUUAUAGUGACCCAUAAGCCACUUUACAUUUGGAAAAUGUCCUUCCUCAACCACUACAUUAAUUCCUAGGAUAUGCUGUACAUAAAGGUCAUUUGAGGUAACGUGUACAAAUGAACUCUUCCACAUGGUCACGUUUCUCAUGCCUCCUGUUUUCCAACCUCGAGACAUCAUCUUCACGCCAAGUUGAUCAUCUAGCCUCGAGGCUCCAUCCACGAUCCAGAAUGAACGUCCAGGCUUGAGGCUCCUUCUUCGUUAAGCUUUGUUGAGAACUCAUAACCUCACAUAGUUCUCCUCCGAGUAUUGUUCCCGACUCAGAACACUCGAGGUUUAGCUCAGUUGGAGUUUAGCUAUUACUGUUGCUAGUCACCAGCCUCGAGCCCCUCCAGAAGCAAGGUGAUGCGAGGGUACGAGUUUUACUAUUAAAGGUGUUUCCAUAGAAUGUGCGAGGUUAAAGCACUUGCAGCAAAAGCGUGGAGCUGCUUUCAACCAGAGUGCAAUAAUGCAGCCGUGCCCAUCUUGGUCUUGGUCUCCGCCUGAACUAUAGCAGAUGCUGGCAGCGGUAGCAGGGUGGUCCAUUAUAUCUAUGGAUGGCAAUGGUCGGAUUCGGAUGGAAUCGAAUUCGAAUAGCACUUUUUACCACAUACUAAUUCAAAUCCGAAUUCGGAUUCGGAUGUUCUCGAAUGCGAAUGCAAAAUGGAUGGUUCGAAUUCGAAUACUUAGCGGAUUUUUGCAUAAUAUUAAUCGAAUAGAAUUCAUUAAAUUUAGCCAAGAAAUUAAAUUUUCUGAAAUUAAAUACUUUCCCUUCGCCCCAGCGGCGGCCUAACUCCCAGGACGGUGGCGUGCGGGGCCCGAGCAUCCCUGGCCUCUAGUGGCGUGGCGGGGCGGCAUCCAGCAGCAGCGGCGGGGCUCGGCCUCCGGUGGCGCGCGGCCAGCCCGACCUACCCGGUCAGAGGUGGCGCAGCGGUGCGCGGGCCUCCCCGACCAGAGCCGGUGGGGAGCGGUGCGCGGGGAGGACCUCCCCAGCCGGAGGUAGCAGGGCGCGACCUCCCCGGCCGGAGGUGGCUCCCUGUGGGGGCGCGGCCGUGACAGCUAGCGAGGCAAUAAUUGCUUCCGUACGCAGCAAUAAUUGCUUGUGCGACACCGUGUUAUUACUCUGGUACAGUACUCCCUCCGUUGCAGUACACUGGUCCAGGCGUCAGGACACUGCUCCUGCCCUCGUGGUUCACGUGCAUCAGGCCAGCAGACAAGCUAUGAUGUUGCCAACAGUGUUUGUUUGAACAUGGAGAUGUCAUUGUGAUUGUCAGGGACCCGACACCAUGCAUGCCGAUUUCAUAUUCUUAAUAUUUAUUUUUUUAAUGGUUGUUGAAACUAUAUAGUUACUCCAAUAUCACGUUUCCGAUUAUAAAAAUUAACAUAAAGAGAUCGGAAGGGAGAGCCCGCAUAAUGAAGCCGACGCGUAUAAUAAGCACUAGAGCCGGCAUUUAUACAAACGGGUACGCAUAGUAAAAACUAGAAUUUAUAAAUAAAUGAAGAUAUUCAAAUAUCUGGCUUACUUUUUUCAUUAAUUUUGCAUGAAUAAGGGAUGAUUCAUUAAUCAUUAUUGAACAAAUUGGCACACAUGCUUCGUGCCCGCGUUGUGAGCAUUAUGCGAUGCCACUGAGCUGCACCACCACGGUAGAGGGCCUGUUUGCGAUGCCACCGAGCUGCACCACCACGGCAGAGGGUCUGUUUGGGAAGGGGAAGUUAAAGUUUAACACCCCCCAUUUAACACCUUUUUAACAAAAUGGCUGCUAAACACUUGUGUUAAAAGAGUAGUGUUAAAAUUUAACACCUCUCUUUUCAUAAACACAUGGAGGGGGUGUUAAAAUUUGCUAAAUGUGUUAAAAGUGGUCCCCUCCCCACUUAUUCCUUGGUUGCCCCCCUCUCUCUCCUCCUCUCUCUCCUACCCGCCGCAUUUAAGAGCAUUAUUGAGGGGUAAUGCAGUCCUUUUCCAACAAAAGUGUUAAACUUUAACAACCCUUCCCAAACAUGCCACAAGCAACACCACCGGCUGACUGUGCUAGCGGGGAGCACCCUCACCGCCUGCCCGUGGGGACUUCUUCUGCCGGCCAUCGUGUCUUUGUAGGACCGCCGCGUGAGCCUAUGAGCCACCGGUGGCCGUGCGCCCAAGGGCCAUCACCAUGCCACCUGAGGAUGCUGUCUACCCGGUGCCGCGUGCCUCUGCUAGCUGCUUGCACCUGGGCCGCCGCUGGUCGCCUGCACAGCCACGCGUUACAGCCGCCCCCCUGCGCUGGGCCACCCCAUUUCGUGUUGGAAGAACUGCCACAGUCUCGCGCACUGGGGUUUUGCUAGUGACGACCAUAGCCUCCAAGAUCAAAUGAAAAAGUUGGUACUCAAAACAUACAUCCAUUAAUCUAGUCGUGCUAAUCCUUACCACCAAAUAAAAACUAGCAUGUGUUGUGUUUUUGUGACCCUAAACGAUCACAAAUGAAUAACUUAUGGGCGUUGCUAGCCUAUAAGUUAUGGGCGUUUGUGACCCUAGUCGCGCCGGGGUCUUGCUGGUGACAACCAUGGUCUUCGCGAUAAAGUAUUAAGUCUCAUCGAGUUCUACAAUUUUGAUAUAAAAUUUCUAUUCAUCCGAGAUCAAAUGAAAAACAAAUGAAAAAAUCCGAAGUAUUAGGCUUCAUCGAGCUCUACAAUUUUGAUAUAAAAUUUCUAUUCAUCCGAGAUCAAAUGAAAAAAUCCGAGAUCAAAUGAAAAGUUGGAACUCAAAACAUACAUCCAUUAAUCUUGAUAUAAAAUUUCUAUUCAUCCGACAUCAAAUGAAAAAGUUGGUACUCAAAAUAUACAUCCUUUAAUCUAGUCGUGCUAAUCCUUACCACCAAAUAAAAAAACUAGCAUGUGUUGUGUGUUUCUGACCGUAAACGAUCACAAAUGAAUAACUUAUGGGUGUUGCUAGCGUCCCGGACGCUAGCAUCGGACGCAUGAGCAGCCGUCCGAUCGGGUCCGACACCACUUCACGAUCUGUCUUAAAAAAAAGUCCCACCGAAACAUUGUUCCAUGUUGCAUGAAAUACCCCACUAUCCAUCGCCAGGUCUACAGCAAGCACCACCUUCCAAUCUGCUGCUCACCCAAGCUAAAUAGGGGCAUUAAAAUUGCAGAAAUAUGUCACAUAUCCUUGUCAAAUUAAACUAAAUCGCAACAUCCGAAAAUUUCUUACACAAAACCAUGAAACAUAUCGAUUAGAUAGGUGUAACAAGAUGGAAUAUGGUAUCCAACAUAUAGAUUCCGAAAAACAGAUGAAACAUUAUGUAACGAUUGUUGAAACAGUCGAGAAAUAUAGAUGUAACGAUUAAAAUUUAGAAAAGAAGCUUUAUGCAAAUUGCAAAAAGCUGAAAUAAGUGGUUGAAACAUUUCGAAUCACCAAAUGCCACAUUUGAAAUGGCUACAUGAAACAUCACGAAAUCAAUUGCAACAGUUGAAGAUGAAAACAUUCAAAUGCCUUGCCUUUCUCCAGAUUUGACCCUCCAAGCAUGAGUCCAGCCAUUUGCACAUUAGACCCUUGGGAGGAGCUCACCGGAGAACAACAAGACCGUGUUCUCCAACAAUUUUCUGAUCAAAUUGCAACAGACAAAACAAAGCAUUGCAACAUCUGGCAUCACGAGCUACAACAUCAACAAGUUAGGAUCAGGAGAAAGAGGGAAAACACAAGCCUAACAACCCCAAGACAAAACUGAUGUACUCAUCAUACAUCACGGCUUGCCGUGCACAGAGAUGAAGGCCGCCAAGCUCAAUCGAGACAGAGACGACGUGAUAGUGCUCCAGAUCGACGGUCCCCAUCAAUUGUUGCGUACACUGCCAAAAGCAAUGGAAGAAGAAGGGUCGUCCCUGCUCGACCUCCGUAGAUGAGCGCAGAUUGGGGGAAACCGUAUAGAGUGCCGCUGACAGCACAGGCGAGGGGGCUCAGGCUUGAUUCAGGGUGAGGGUAGCGGGUAGCAUGAGGAGACAGUCAGGUUUCAUAGGAGAGAGGCGGAGUAGAGAGCUCUGGUGACUCGGUGAGGAGGGUGCGGCACGGAGAAAGGUGUGUAGCUGAAGGAGCUACAUGGUUGGGGCGAGGCGAGCGUAGAGACUAGAGAGGGAAAAAAAGCAUGGGGAGGAGACGAUAUGUGGUUGAUGGUGCGGGCACGUGGUGAGCGCACCGUAUGAAAAUUUUGCUCGCGUCGGAUGACUGAUGUGAAGCAUUACCCAAUCUUAAUUAUCUCCCAUAAUCCAAAACUCACAAAAACAUCAAAAAUCCGCCGAGAAUAAAUUAAGUAAACCAUGCACACACAGAUAAUAAAAUUGCUAAUAAGGCCAGAGAUAAUACAUGAACAUAUUAGACUGUUCAUGACACAUAUCACGGUGGAUAGUGUCUGUGUCCUUAUUACAAGCAAUGAGAGAUGCUUGUCACCACACACACGCGCACAGAUGCAUGACAUACAUAUAGUUGAGACCAACAGAUGGAUCAACUAGAGGUCACCCCAUAUGGUGAACAAUUUAUUGGAGAUAAACAUUAACAUAACUUGGCCAUAGCUUGAAGCAUAGCAACAUAUGCCUAUGAAUGGCGUUCAUGCUAUCGUUUUAGGCUUGUCCAGCUUCUUUCAUCUUAGCAAGCACUUCCAUUUCUACCAUCUUAGCAGCAACUGUCAAAUUGAGAUAUGGAAAUCCCAUUAGCGCAUGAUUAAUUUUGCAGUGGAAAUAGAGUGCAAGAUAUCUUCAUGAUGUAAAUAACAUGCCUGAAGUUGUGAGAUGGGAAGUGAAGUCAACAAAUUACAUUAACGGAAAUGCAUGGAAGGCCACACAUACGUAUUAGUCCAUAAUACGCUACAAAGCUUGUAUGUACAUAUAGCAAAUUAAAUGCAUUAAUUGAAUAGAGUGAGUUUAGUGAAUUUACCAGAAUCGUCCAGAAAACAUGGGAAACAGCAAGUGUGCUUGCAGACUGUGUCGGAGCCACCCACACGAAUACAAAGCUGACAACAUGCUUGUGCCUCGUGGGAUACGCAGCAGCCGCACUGUGCCGCGGUGGCCGAGUUAACAUUGAGGCUCAAGAUGAAC
rnacentral:lncRNA from 1 species